UUAUUUUUUUUCCUUCAAUUUUUGGCCCCAUUAUGAAUCAAUUAAUCAACCUUUGAUGGAGAAAGGACUUACUUUUCCUUUGUAUUUUAUCCUAACUUAAUUAUUUCUUUUACCUAUAAGGAUCAACCCAUUAGCAUUUAGAUGAAAUGGUAAAAAUCUUCUCUUACAAUACUAUUAAAAGUUUUGAGGGUAAACUUUAUCACUUUGUUCUAUCCGGAUUGAAAAACUAAUCUCUUAUUUUGCAUGAUAAAUAAAUAUCAUUUAUAAAUACAAGAACCUAAAAGAAAAUAAUCGAGGUUAUUUUAUUUAUGUUUUCAUCUUUGUUGAAAUAAAUUGUUUCAAUGAUGUAAUUUAUAUAUACCGUGAGUGUAAAAAAGUUGCACGUCAAUGAAACAAAACCGUCAAAUCAUUAUAAAUAUUUGACUUUAAUUAUAAUUGAUUUUAAAAUUUCAUAUAUGAUUCAUUGUAAUUUAUUUUUAAUUAAAACUUUAUACAAUAAUAGUGUAUAAAAAUUAAGCUAUUGUUUACCACAAAAUACUUUUUUCCUUGUACAUGCGUGGAAACCGUCUCCAAUGAAUUAUGAAUGCUUUAAUUUUAGAGUAAGAUUCAGUACAACUAUUUAUGCCACUAUAAUUCAUCAUAUCGAUGAAAUGUUCCGAAAGAGAUGAUAAUUCCUUUGACCAUUAUUUUUUAUCCUCAAAAUAAAUAAAUAAAUAAAUAGAUAAAAUUAAGGGUGGGAUGGUUUACCUCGUGUUAAAAGGAUUCCUGAGUUAAAAUAUGGCUUAAUAGCAAUUUUUGUUUCCUAACUUUCACGAAGUUGCGCUUAAGUUUUGCAACUGUAAGAGUUUUGGCCCCCUAAAAUCAAUUUAAAAUUAAAAAAAAAAUAACACGUGGUACGUCAUUUAGGGUGACACGUAAGCCUUGACCGAGUCAAAAUUGACCUUGAGGGCCAAAACUGCUACAUUUGCAAAACUUAGGAGACAAUUUUAUAGUUUUUUCUUUAGAGAACCAAAUCACAACUUUUAAAAAGUUAGGGAGUUAAAACUGUUAUUAAGCCUUAAAAUAUACAUCAAUGACCAAUUAGAUAGUCUAUCACAAUUGGUCGAACUCUGCUAACUUUUUUAAUGAUGACAUGCUAUUUGAUUUGGCAAAGAGUAAAGUGAUAAGAAGUUUGAAAGUUUAAUUCACAUUCCAAAUGAAAAGGACUAACUUUUAUUAAUUAAUUGUCUUGAUGAUCUAUUGCGCUUAGUAGAAUUAUGUGUAUGGCUUUCCUUAACACGUCCUAUGAUUUAAUACCUAUAUUUUGUUUGUGAGAACUAUGAACUCUAAAUAAAUUAUUUUGUAUGGCUUUUUUUAUCGUCAUUGAACAUACCAUCUUAAUGUUAAAUGGUUUAUAAGAAAUUUUUAAUAAAGUUGGUUGAAAAAAUGGAUGACAUUGUAAAUAUUUUACAACUUAAAGGACCAAUUUAUAAUAAAAUAUAACUUAAAAAAUUAAUCGGUAACAAAAAAACUUAAAGGACUAAUAUGUUAUAAAUGUAUAACUUAAAGAACCAUGGGAGAUAUUUGACCAAAAAGCCCAAAUACCAUUUGACAAAGACAGACUAUUUUGAAAUAUUGUCAAAAGUGUAUCAAUUAUACUUUUACAUGACGAGGGAUUUAAUUGAGAAAUUUUGACAAAGACAGUGACUAUUUUGAAAUAUCAAUAGAGUCAUAGACUAAUUUGAGAAUCACUUACAAAUACAGCGACCAAAUUGGUGGUUUAUUCAAAUAAUGGCAUUGAUCACUUUAUUAUUCAUUCCCAUUCUUCUUUGUAGGUGUUAGAUGCGAUAACAGAAGCGCCUCACCCUUCAAAGCUUCAACACACUUAUGCCGGAUUUGCCCUCAUCUUUACCUUCAAAUAUCGUUGCUUUUGGUAAACUUCCCAAUGUCUCACUUGGCACCCAUGGUGUUCUCUCAAAGAUUUGUUCUGAUUACCCCACUGUGGACGCCAAUUUGUUGUGAAUUUGUUUAGAGCAAUUUGAUGGCCACCAAAACAAAAGAAACACAAUAAUUCUCUUGAACAAAAAUAAACAAUAAUAUGAAGGAAGAAGAAAAGUAAGAAAAACACACAAUAUUGUUUACUUAGUUUAGACCAAUAAUGACAUACUAUGUGGAAGAGAACAACUCUCCAUUCCACUAAGUAAGAAAGAAAAUUUACACGAAGAUUUCAAAAAGAAUUAUAAGAGUUAUUCUUCAAACUUAAUUCUACCUUUUUUUUAUUUUCAAACUUAAUUCUACCGUUUUUUUAUAUCUAGCUGUGACCAAGAGACAAAGUGUUUUAGUAUUCUUGAAGGUGAUCCACUUGGGGUUGGCUUAGUGGUUGAUUCAGGAUCUUAGUGUUUGCUCCUCUCAAAGUCUUAGGCUCGAUUCCUUCUAUUACCAAUUUCGGUUGGGCGGUGAGAUUAGUCCCUCAAAUUAAUUGAUUGUUGGAUCGGAUAGCAAGUUUUCAAUAAAAAAUAAAAAAGACCGAGGAAAGAACCGUUUAUGCCAAUUGUUCUCCUUCGUGUGGAAUAGAGAGGUAAUUCAAAAUGUGCAUCAACAAUUAUGGGUUUUUUUUUCGAAGACAUUGAGUCAAUUAACCAUCUUUUUAUGCAAUGAAUUUAAGUGAGAGAUGUCUUUGAAUAUGGUGUUUGUCUGGUUGCAGCACGAUUUUGAUCAAGGAGAAUUAGAAGUACCGAUGCACUUUUCAAAAUUUAGAUCUUCGUAAGUUUGUUCCACUUUAGUUACUCAAUUCAAUUCAUAAGACAAUAAACAUUAUUUACCUUAUAUUUCACAAGUUUUCUUUAUCAUCCUCGUUCUCAAACCCUAACCGUCAUUCAUUUCUUCUUCUUCUUCUUUUUGUUAGAGGGGUGAUUUAGGGUCAAUUUUGACCCAAAAAUCACCCCUCCGAGUUGUUUUUCCUUAUAUCAUAAUUCAAUAAAUAAGUGAUUUCACAUAUUUUCUGUUUUCAUUCAUUUGUUUUUGUGAUUUCGUCGUCUCGAACAACUCUGUUUGUUUUGAUUUCCCGUCUUUGUGUGGUGUGUUUUUGAUUUCCCAUCUUUGCGCGGUGUGUUUUUUUAUUUUCCGUCUUAGUACGAUGUUUAUUUGAUUCAGGUUGAAAGAUUAGUUUUGAGCAAGUGCAGAUCCGAUCAAUGUCAAUGACUUUGGCAUCGUCAACGUUGCAGAUCUGGAGACAUGAAUAUUCCAGAGACUUUAAUAUAGUCAUAUUAGUCAUAUUUGUAGGCAUAAAUACUUUGCUGUUUUAUGCUAUUAACAUGGAUGUUUUAAGUUUGUUCACAUAUUCAACAUUUUUGCUUUUAGCGAAUUUGGAUUUGUAUUAUAUCGAUGUACUCUAUCAAUUUGAAUGAAUGAAUAUCGUUUAUCUUUGUAAAAAAAAAAAAAAAAAUUAGAUCUUCAUUUAUUGGAAAAAAGAAAGUGGUACGAUUUUUCAUUUAUUUGGAAGAUGGUGAAUAUGUUGUCUUGGUUUAGUAAUAGGGAUUACUCACUUGAUAAUGACAAUGCAUAAUAUAUGCAAGGUUCGAGAUUUGAAUCCGGAAGAAGAAAAAAAAAGUAAUAGUGAUUAGAGAAAUAAGAAUAUAGUAUUCAAAACGUAUGAUUGCCUUGCAUUAUAAUGAAUUUUGACUACCCUCUUAAUACUGGCAUUAUUGUAGUUUGUUUAUAUGAAAAGAAAAACCAAUGAAAUAAUGUUUGUUCUCUCCCUUCUCAACAUUUUAAACCAUUACUCUUAUUGUCGCUAUCACUGCAUUCUCAUUUUCAUUGUCAUAAUAUACAAGUGAGAUGUUAAAUUUCAAAAGGUGCUGUAUAUAUAUAACUUCUAGAAAUUAAUUUUUGAAUAAGAGUACUUGACAUAUAAAAAUCAACUCAUGGGAUGUGUUAAUGUAGAAGGUGUGAAUAGCAACUCCUUCUUAUCAAACAUAUUUGGUUCAGAACCGAGAAUAGCCCAAUAAAGGUUCUAUACACGAACAAAUUUUUCUUCGGGAGACCAUGAGAAUUGCUCUUCUCCCGUCUGUUUUUACUCAUUCUCAUUCAACAUGAGUUAACUCACGUUGAAAAUACAUCUACAUGAGUUAAUUUCGGCUGAAAAAUACACCUACGUGAGUUAACUCACGUUAAAAAUACACCUGCGUGAGUUUAACUCACGCUGGACUAUUUUGAUGGGAACGAGUAAAAAUAGAUGGGAGAAGAGCAAUAACCUGAGACCAUUGCCUAAGGGUGUCACUGCAUCUUUUUUGGCCUUAAUUGAUUCCACGAUAUGACAACCCGCGAGAUUGAAUGAAUUCAGGCCAAUUUGUUUGAUUUGUUGUAUUUAUAAGAUUGUGGCAAAGUUGUUGGCUUUGAGAUUAAAAUAUGUAUUGGAGAGAUUAUUUCUGAAUGUUAUACUGCUUUCGUACUCGGCCGACAAAUACUAGAUGGAGUUCUUACUCUCAAUGAAAUUGUCGACUUUGCAAAAAGAAGUAAGCAGGAGUGUUUGUUGUUUAAGGUUGAUUUUGAGAAAAAAGCGUAUGAUGGCGUUAAUUGGAAUUAUUUGAGAUAUAUACUACGGAGGAUGGGGCAAUAUAUGGUGCAUCAAAUAUAUAUUAAGAGGUUUCGAACUUAUAUCUGGUCUUCAAGUAAAUUUUCAUAAAAGCAAAGUUUACGGAAUCCAUGCAAGUCAAUAUUUUUUGCAAGAGGCUUUAACUUUCUUAAGCUGCAAUGUCGGUUUGCUUCCAUUCAAAUUCCUUGGUAUGCCAAUAGGUGCUAAUCCUAGAAGGUGUCAUCGUCGUUGAAGAAUCGUCAUCUAUGUUGGUUGGAGAGUUACUUUGUUAAAUGCAACUCUUAAUAGUAUUCCACUUUAUUUCCUAUCCUUCUUCGUAUCUCCAAAGAUUACACAAGAAAUUGUGAAAAUUCAAAGGAAUUUCUUGUGGGGUGGUGUGAAGGAAGAAAGAAAGAAAAAUUUCAUUCAUAAAAUGGGUCAAUGUAUGCAAAAGAAAGGAAGAUAGCAGAUUGGGUGUGAAAUGUAAUGAAAAGUUUAAUGUGUCAUUAUUAUGUAAAUGGAAAUGGUGAUUUAAUAAAAAAAUAACAGUGACAAGCGAUACAAUACGUGGAAGGUUGGAUUCAAUAUGGUGGUGGGAUUUGCUAUCAAUAGAUAGACAAGGAACAAUGUUUCAAGAUUGUUUUGUGAAGAAUGUGGGAUUCUCAAUGGAUAAUGGUGACAAGUUGUUGUUUAGGAACAGAAAUGGUACAAUGAUGUUAUGUUUUCUGCGCGAUUUCCCACUUUGUUUGCACAAGUAUGUGAGCAGAAUACACACAUUGCGGACUAUGGUGUAUGCGAGUUAAAUGUCUGGGGAUGGCAUAUGGAAGUUAGAUGUUUGAGUUGUUGUCUAGCAAAGCGACAGAUGAAGACAAUACAUUUAUGGAACUAUUACCGGAUUAUGUAUUUGACAGAAACGCGCAAGACAAGUUUGUGUCGAUUCUUGAUCGAUUGCGAGGCUUUAGUUUGAAGACAUUUUUUUUGCUGACUUUCACGAAUGAAAACUUAAUUUGUUACAAUUUUUAUCCUCUCAAUUAUCACAUUUGUUGCAAUUUUUUUACAAUUUGUAUCGGUGCUUAAUUUCUAUUUUGUUGCAUUAUAUCGGUGUUUCUAUUUGUAACAAUUUGUUACAAUUAACACAUUGUACCAAUUUUAGCUUAAUUGUAACAAAUUGUAAAAAAAAAAUUAUCCUAAAAUUGUAACAAUUUGUAACUUUAGUGGAAGAGGAUAAUUGUACCAUAUACCAUAUAUCAUUUUGUCCCCUUUUUUAUCCUCUCAAUUACACAUUUGUUACAAUUUUAGCCAUAAUUCAGAUUUUGACUCGAGACAUAAUGAUAUAUGGUCUAAAAAAUGUUUAGUUACGUUUUGAUCCCAAAAGUCCCUAAAAAAAAAAAGUUUUGAUCCCAAAAGUGGUAUUUUCUAACGAGGUUAAACCAAAAUUUUCACAAAAGUGAUGAUACAGUGUAACACAGUGAGACACUUCAAAAGUUUAGUAUCAAGCAAUUGCAGUGGCAACUCCCAUUACAUUGGUCGAUGAAGGUGUGUCACAUAGCACUUCACAUGUAUAUAAUAGAUGACUUUCUUCAAGUAAACUAUCUAUAACUAAACAAUCCAAAUAAACUCAACGAAUAAUGAAACACAUAAACGAAUUGAGCAAACUAUUAUAUUUUAGAAAUAAAAUAUCAAAUUUUUGUGUGGUAUUUCAGAAGCAUAAUGAGAUAAAUUUCGGCUAUAACGAAUGGAACAAAACCUACUAUAAUAAUAAUGCAUGCGCUGAUUGCUCUAACAAAGAAACAACCUAAGCUCUAAGCUAGGCUAGUAGUGCUGCCAUUUCCUUGUUGCCAAAGAGGGAACCGCAUAACAAAAAUAGGCAGCACAUAAGAAAUAGCCACAGAGAAAUGCAACUUCCCCAUAUAGCAUCUGGAUGCGGAAGUUACGACUGUAGAGCAGGAUUCUUUUGUAACGGAGGUCAUUUAUUAGGACAAAGAAGAAGAUGCAACUUGUUCCAAAGCAAAUGGAUGGACAAAGUGAAAAUACCAUGAAUAUCCUCGGGAAAUCAUGUCGGAAAAUACCAUAAAUUCCGAUUAUGAAAGCUGAUAUUAGUGUCACAGUCCCCAAAAUGAUGCCUACCCUCAUCAAACACUCAAAGUAAUUGAUGUAAGGAGCCCUAGAACAAAGCAAAAUCAGAUAUAGAUAAUGUUAAUAUGGGAAAGCAACAUAUGCAUAAAGAAAUUAAUGGUGAAAAACAAACUUACAUAUCACGGGCGUCAUAGACCGGAGCCGAGUCUAUAGUAUGCUUCUGUUCAACUUCGAUAACCAGGGCUUUUGUCGAAGGUGCAUGCGUCCCAUGGCUUGUUCCUGCAGCGUUGCCAGAGGAUUGUUGCGAUGGAGACAAUAUAGUGCUUGAUGGAAAGGGUUACGAUAGAGAGAGGGUUUGGGUGAGGAAGAUAAUUGGUUUUAAAUAAGGGAAAUGCUUUUUAUAACGAGUGUCAAGGAAAUAUGGUUUUUUUUUUUUUUGAGAGAUUAUAGCUGGUUUUUUUUUGACAGAAAGAUAAUUAUCUCAUUUCAUUAAUAAGGAUAUCUUGAAUACAAUCAGGUAAUACAGUGAAAUAGUGGAUACUAGCAUAAAAUGUGGCCGCCCUAGCAAGUCUAUGAGCAACCUCAUUUGCUUGUCUCCUAAUAAACUCUACCCUUGAGUUUGUGAAAAAAGAUGAGAAAGUAGUCCUACAUUCUCUGAUGAUAGCUCCUAAAUCAGAUACAUCAUUUCUAGUGCUGUGAAAACUAUCUACUACCCUCUUAGAGUCAAGCUCGAAAGUAAUAUUAUUUAAAUUCUGCUCUUUUGCCCAUCUGCUAGCAUAUAAAAGACCAAUAGCUUCUCCCUCAGGUACAUCUAAGAGUGGCGUUGACCAACUGGUUCUGGCUUUCACCAGCCUCCCGCUAUCAUCCCUGAUGCAUAUUCCUAUGCCAUCCCGGUUACUUUCUUUGAAGAAAGCAGCAUCUACAUUACAUUUGAAAUGACCUUCAUCUGGCUUUCUCCAAACUGUGUCGUCAAUACGUUGUUGCUGUACAUCCGCUUGAUUACGGCUAUCUUGCGCGUUUUGCCAACCCGUUAGAAGAUUAAGGCCUCUGUCACGAACUGCUGCAGUAGUCAUGACUUCAUUCCUCCAGAUACAAUCAUUUCUCUGUUUCCAAAUAGACCACAUAACACAAGCCCAAAUGACUCGUUGACUCGAAUCUAGCUCCUGCAGGAUUUCAAACAUGGUGACCCCAAAGCUGAGAUUUAAUUGAGCCUUUUGCUGAACUUUGCUCCACAACCCUAAUUGCUGCCAACACUGCCUGCUCUUUGUGCAAUAAAAAAAUAAAUGCAUACUAUCUUCAUCCUCAUUCUCGCAUAAAGCACAAGUUUUUGUGCAAUUUACCCCUCUGUCUUGAAGUCGGACUCUUGUUGGAAGAGCAUUUCUGCACGAUCUCCAUAGAAAAGUUUUCACCUUAGGAGGUCCCUUAAGAUUCCAAAGGAGUACCCAAUUUCCAUCACAACGGUGAGUACUCAAAUCCACAUGUUGACUGAGACUGAUACGAUAUCCACUUUUAACAGAAUAGAUACCAUUUGUCUCUGACUUCCACACUCUUUUAUCGUGCUGAUUAGGUUCAAAGAUUGGAGUAUUAAGGAUGCGAUUAGUAUCUUCGUUGCUAACAAGGUUCCUCAAUAAACCAACAUUCCAAAACCGAGUUUGAGAUAUGAAAAGAUCUGCAACAGUAAGCUCUUUGAAUUCUUCUGGCACACUUUCUGGCUUCUGUAGAACACCACCAUCCACUAGCCACCGCUGGUCCCAUACACAAAUAUCAGUUCCUGAACCAAUGCUCCACUUGUAUCCUUCGCUAACAACUCUUUUGGCCCCCCAAAUGCUGCGCCAAACGUAGCUUGGAUUGUGACCAAUCUUUGAGUCCAAGAAAUCACAUUUGUUAAAGUAUUUUGCUUUGAACAAUCUGGUGACAAUGUUGUGUGGUUCCAUCGUGAAUUUCCAAGCAUACCCUCAUUAAAAGCGCGAAGAUUUUUAAAACCAAGACCCCCUUCCUUUUUCUGAAUGCUGAGCCUUUCCCAUGACAUCCAGUUGAUUCCUUUGGUGUUCCUUUUGUUGUGACCCCACCAGAAUGAAUUAAGCAUUUUUUCUAUAUCAACAAUAAUGGAUUUAGGGAUAGCAAAGAUACUCAUGAUGUAAGAAGGUAUCGACUGCAAGACCGAUUUGAUUAGAGUUUCUCGUCCAUCUUGUGACAAGCAUUUGCUGCUCCAAGAGUUAAUCUUCUUCCACACUCUUUCCUUCACAAAUUUGAAAGUCGAGGUACGACUUCUGCCGACCAUAGAAGGGACACCAAGGUAUUUACCUGUUCCCAUAACCUGUUGAACUCCUAAGAUUUGAGAGAUAGAAGCUUUGACUGCAUCAUCUACAUUCCUGCUAUAAAAAAUUUCGGACUUCUGAAAAUUUAUAGACUGACCAGAAGCACUUUCAUACAUUUCUAAUAUAUUUUUCAUACCCUGAGCUUGACCACUUUUAGCUUUAAAGAAAAGAAAACAGUCAUCCGCGAACAGAAGAUGGGAUAUGAUCGGUGCAUUCUUACAAAUCUUUGCUCCACUUAUGGUACCGCUUCCUUCCGCUUGACGAAUAAGUGAUGAAAGCCCUUCAGCACAAAUGAUGAACAUGUACGGUGAUAACGGAUCUCCUUGCCUGAGGCCACGACCUGGAAUAAUUGGACCAAUUUUCUCACCAUUUAAUAUAACAGAGUAGUCAACCGACUCUACGCACAUCAUAAUCCACUUUGACCAUUUCGAACAGAAACCCAUCUUCCCCAUUAUGCUCCUCAGAUACUCCCAAUCGAUUCUAUCAUAAGCCUUGCUAAUGUCUAAUUUCAAAGCCACAUCCCCUUCCUUACCUUUAGUCUUGCAUUGCAUAUAGUGAACUAUCCCAAUAGCAGCUAAAGCAUUAUCCAAAAUCGACCUUCCGGGCACAAAAGCAGACUGAUUCUCAGAUAUACAUUUCGAGAGCACUACCUUUAACCUGUUAGCAAGAACCUUUGCCACUAUCUUGUAAAGCACAUUACACAAAGCAAUCGGUCUCCAAUCUUUCAUCGAUGACUGGGUAUCUCCUUUCGGAAUAAGAGUGAUGUUGGUAGAGUUUAAACACGGAGGAAAAGAACCAUUAUCUAGCCAAAAACAUGCAGCCUCAAAAAUAUCUGUACCACAACUACUCCAAAAACUUUUAAAGAAACCUGGAUUGUAGCCAUCUGGUCCUGGACACUUAUCAUUUCCCAUAGAGAAAGCAGCCUCUCUAAACUCAUCAACUGAAAACGGUCGAGUGAGAAGAUCAUUAUCUUGGGUUGAAAUAGACUGAGGAACUGCAUUAAUAACUCUGACCCGAUCUCCAUCCCGGCGUUGAAACAACUCAAGAAAAUAAUCCUUAGCUAUACCUUUCAUACCGUCUAUAGAGGUGCACUUAACAUCAUUUGCAUCCUCGAGAUGGGUAAUUUUAUUAACUGUUCGCCGAGAGGUUGCUGAAGCGUGGAAAAAUUUGGUAUUAAGAUCUCCUUCUCGGUACCAGUGUGUCUUCGCCCGUUGUUUCCAGAAGACAUCAUCUUUAACAAGCAAAGUGUCGAGUCUUCGUCUCAGAGCAUUAAAAUAAUUGAUGUUUGAGGAGCACACCUGAGUUCGAACUCUUUCAAGUUUCUUCCUGCACUUUUCAAUUUCUUUCCUUAUUGGUUGUUAUACUUAUAUUGGAGGUUUGUUUUAUGAUUUUCGUUUUUUACGCAAAUACCUUGUGUUGUAACAAACCAAAGCAAAUAUAUAUUAUAACAAACUAAAACUAAUUCCCUCGUAUACCAUUACCUUUUUUGUGACAAAUUUACCCCUUUUGUUACCAAGCCAAUUUUUAUUUAAUAAAAUAAAGCCAAUUUAUGAGCUUAUCUACUACUCUCCAUUUCAAAAUGAGUGUCGUUUUAGGUCUUUACACACAUAUUAAGAAAUGUAAUGAUUAAAAGAAAGAGAAUGAUUAUUUUACCAAAUUAUCUUUAUUAACUAUUGGUAACAAGUAGACACAAAAAAAAAAAAAAAAAAGUAAAUUACACUCCCCAAAAAAAUGCUUGAAUUACACUCUCUUUCCCUUUGAUGUUAAAAUAUACACUUCCCUCCCUUGCAAAGUAAAAUUUAUACUCCCCCUCCCUUAUAAGAUGCUUGAAUUACAACCACAUCCCUUAAUAAUUAAAUAUGCACUACACGUUAAUCUAUUUUAACAUAAAUAAAUAUUUUUAUGAUAUAUAUUAAUUUUGAACCACAUUUAAGAAAAAAUAAUUCAUUUCUUUCUAAUUUAAAUGUCAAUGAUAAUUAAAUUUAAAUAAUCCAGAAGUCCUAGCUCAACUGGCAAAAUGCCGAAAUUGUUAGGCCGGAUGCCAUGACCGGGGUUCGAACCCCGGUGCCUCCACUUGUGUGUGUGAGUUUUAUAAUGGCUUUGCCAUUUCGUCUAUCUACCAAAAAAAAAAAUUAAAUUUAAAUAUUUUGCUAUUGAUUUUAUAAUUUAGAGUAUAAAUUAACUUUUAAAUAACCAUGUUUUAUUGUCUUUAAAUUUUUUACAUGUUUUAAUUUUAUUUUGAGUUGUUUCAUAUUUUAUAAUAGGGAAUAUUUAUAAUGAAAUUGUGAAUAAAAAACAGCGAAAAAUAUGUAUUCAAUUUCUUAUUAUUUUAAAAUAGACUCAUAAUACUAUUUUUUUAAGUGUGUUAGAUUAUUGUUAUUUUUGCUAGAUUAUUAGAAAUAAAAAAAAUAUUGAGGGAGUAAAGUGUAGAUUUUAAUAUAGGAGGGGAGGGGGAGGGGAAUGUAAUUCAAGCUUCUCUUAGGGGAGGGGAGUAAAAAGUUUUCUAAUAUGUUUUGAAUAAGAGGGGAGGGGGGUAUAAUUCAAACAUCUUAGAGGGGGAGGGGAGUGUAAUUUACUAAAAAAAAUUAUAGGGAAAAAAAAUUAAAAUGGAAUAUUUUUUUAGAAAUCGUAAGCAUAGUUAACUUCUUAAUUAAGGAUUUGGAGCUUACAUCAUUGGUAAAGAAGAUGCGAUCCUUUUUGUAUUUUUUGAAGUUGUAAAUCCACAAGUUGCAAACAAAUUGAACGGAUUCAAGAUUAGGAAUGUCAUCAAAAGUCACACUAACAAGGAAAAACUCAUAAGCUUACAUAAGUUCCUUAUGUAAAAUGCUCCUGGGAUUCCAAAAUCAUUCAUUAUCCCAAUCAAAGUGAAUACUAAAUGCUUCUUGUCUUGCUCCCAAAGUUGAUUUUAUUUGGAGAAACAAACACGUCCCUAGUAUUGUCUUGAUUCCAAAAAAAGUAAGAAAGGAUUUUAUUUGAUCAACAACUUAUAGCAACACUAUUAGUGGCCAAUUCUGUUUAAGUUCUCUAAUUACAUUAAAACAUUUGUAACCGAUAAUUAAAGUGUGAAUAUUUUUGUAGUUCUUGUUUUGGGAUAACGCUUGAACACGUCAUUUAAAAAAUUUCAUCCAAUGGUAUUUUAACAUGUGUGAUUAUUGUGUUGUUGAGCCAAUCAUAUUGUAUCGUUUUAGUUUUAUUACAUCAUAUUUUUUGUUUUAAUAUUAAUUUAAAUAAUAUUUUACUUAUACCAUUAACCUAUAUAUACCCCAUUUAUAUCCGGUUAUCUCAUCUACCCAUUUCUCUUCCCUCUCAAUCUAAAAAACAACAUUAUAAUGGCAUGAAGAUCGAAUAACACCUAUGAGAUCAACCAUGUGAAGGAAUCAUGAACAUAGUUGUUCGGAUUGUUCAUGUUUGUCUUGUUCGUGAUGUCAAUCGUUACAGACAGUUUCCUCUUGACAUGGUUCUGAUGGAUACAUCUGUGAGUAUAUUCUGUUUUUUUGUUUUGUUUUGUUCUUUCACUUCUUUAACUAAUAAUUCAUUUUGUAUUGGUAAUUAAAAUUCAUAUGUCACUGUGAGAAGAAUUUUGAUUUACAAAUUCGAAAAAGACUUGAAGGAGGGGAAAGGUCUACUCUCAAUAACUUUGAUGUUGCUGUAAAUCUUAAGAUGAAAUUAAGUGGCAUGAAGACUGAUUGCUUACUCGGUAUGAAAAUUAAAAUUUAGUUUAAAAUUUAGUUGUCAGUCAAUAUUAUUUCUUAAAAAGUAUCGUUUAUUAAUUAAUUGAUUUUCAUUUGUAUGUAGACUUGAGGUGUAUGUUGACCGAUGUUGGUAUGCAAAGAGAAAAUGAACGAAAUUAAAUGGGGUAAAAAAAAUGGUAACCGUUGAGCUCGAUUACGAUAGGUUAAUACUUUUGUAUUACUUCUACAAAUGUAUUAUUAUUUUUUAAUAAUAUGUUUUAAAUGUUAAUAUAAAUUUAUUUUUGUAGAUUCAAAUAUAAGGUCACUACAUUUGGACAAUAUGUGGAAAAACUUCAUACUUUUGUUGGUGUCGGAGAGACCGAUAAUAUCAUCGUCGUUGUGCUGCUUGCCAAAGUAAAGAUUUGACAAGGUACCUUUUUUGUUAUUUUCUAUUUGUAUGUAAGUUAUAAUUAUAAACGUAUAGUAAUCAAAUUUUGCAACAAAUAUAGGAAAAAAAUAAAAAAAAAUAUAGUAAUUGUCAUAUUAAUGAAAAGAUUCGAUUUUGUUAAUUAUAAAUUCGAUUUAGCAAUCUCUAAUGUUAAUAAGCCAAUGAAGUUGCUCAUAGCUUUGCUAGAGUGACUUCAUGUCAUGCUAGUUUCCAUAUUUAUAUUAGAAUUUCAUGUUAUAUCUCUACAAUUAUUAUAAUAAAACGCUAUAAGUUUCUUCUUGUAAAAAAAAUAAAAAAUUAAGUGUGCACCAAGAAAUUAAUUUUUUGAAUAAUUAAUCUGUUAAUUUAUAUUUUAUAAUUAAACAUGCACCGUCAUUCGUGAUUUUCAUUUUUUUAGAUAAUUAUAUGCAGAUUUAAAAUGUGCUACAGUAUUUCCUUUUAAAAAUAUAACAUGUACGUAUGCACGGAGUGUUUUUAUUUAACAAACUAUAUCAUUACUUCCCCAAAAAAAAAAAACUAUAUCAUUAUUUGUAAUAAAAUUUUGUUAUUAAUAUAUACUAGUAGACUCUUAAAAAAUAAAUACUAAUUGAUUGAAUUAAAUUCACUACCAAAACAAUUAAUUGAAUUAAAUUGGAACAAAUUCGAUAGGGAUACAAACAUUAAUUUCUUAUCAAUCUACUAAUAGAAAUAUCAUAGAACAAAUUAAUUUCUAAUACAAACAUUGGGAAAAAAAAAUAUUGUUCAGGAUCUGCUACACUAUAGAAUAGCAACACUAUAGAAUAGCAUUUACUUUACAAAGUGAUUUUCAACCCUGACACGAUUUCUGCUCAUGAUUUGAACAAAAUGUAUUUGUAUAGAGCAUAAAUUUUAUUUGAAAAAACUGAGGUUUCAUCUCCAUUAAUACAUGUCCUUCAAGACUCGUCGACGAUGACCAAUGAGGAGGAUUAUUUGCAGAUUAAACCAAAGAAAACUGACGAGGGGUUAAAAGUGCGUACCAUGGUUUGUUUAUUCUUAUUUUUUUUUAAUUUUAAAUAAAUAUUAAUCUCGUUACGUCAUUUUUUUUUAUAGGUAUCAUGCUUUGUGUGUUGGCCACAGUCAAAUUUGUUAUAGUUAUAGAUGACUGGUGAUACACAUCAUGUUUUUGCUAUUAAAAGGUAGUGCCUGAUAGCGUAUGUACUUCGAUUCCAAAUGCAAUAGGCAUGCUAUGCGUGUUUUUCCUAGGUGCGUAAUACAAUUUUUCCUAUUAUCUUUAGCCAUGAUUAUAUAGGUAGGUCGUUAAAAUAUUACUUCCCAUUAAUAAAGUAAUAAUUGUUAAUUUUUUAAUGUACAUAUAGUUACAUGAUUAAGGUUCGUGUUAUUGAUGAAAAGACUCUCUUACAUUAGUUAUUUUUUUCUUGAACAAUGUUACUAAAAAAACGGUUGGUGAUAUUAUUGAGAAAAUGGAGGUAAAUUAUAUAUAUUCACCCAAAUAUGGUGACUUAAAGUUUUCUUUUUUACCGAUUAAUUUAAUUAUAAGUAUUAUAUUUAUUAAUAAUUAAUAAUAUUUCUAAUUGUUGUUUGUUUUAACAGUCUCAUUACGCAAGAGAUUACGUCGACAUUAUGCAAGAUUCGAAAAAGUCAUAACGGAUUCGCAUGAUCUCAAAUAAUUUUUUUAUCAUAUUGACAACGGUCCUUCUCCACUUUGUUUGAGAUCUUGCUAACCCAAUACGACUUUUCCAAUCUUGCAUCCAUGUUAUUGUUAGAUUCACCUUUAAACAUUAAGGUUGAAUCAACCAAAGUUAUAAUCUCUUUGGGCAUUGAUCCGCUCUCAUCAGACUGUUAAUACAAACAACAAUUAGAAAUGUUAUUAGUAAAUAUAAUACAUACAAUGAAAUUAAUAUGUAAAAAACAAACUUUAUGUCCCCAUAUUUGGGGAUAAUGAAUGUAAUUUACACUUAUUUUCUCAAUAAUAUCAACAAUUGUUUUUUUAGCAACAAUGCAGCAUCUCGGUUAAAAAUGCCAAAUGUAGCAGAGUCUGUCUCGUUAAUAACAUGAACCUUAAUCGUGUAGUACAAUAAAAAUUUAACAAUUAUUUCUAUAUUAAUGGGAAAUCAUAUUUUCACAACCUACCUAUAUAAUCAUAGAUAAUGAUAAUAGAAAAAAAAAAAUCCUAUUACGAACAUAGGAGAAACAUGCACAACAUGCUUAUUGCAUUUGGAACAGAAGUACAUACGCUCAUCUUGCACUAUCUUUUUUGUCGCAAACACAUGCAUUUUAUCGUCAAUCAUCUGUAUCUAUAACAUAUAUGACUGCUCAUUACAAGAAAGCAAAGCAUGAUUCCUACAAAAGUAAAAAAAAUAACAACUAAUCACUUGAGAUAUUAAUUCAAAAAAUACAUUAAGAAACAAAAACGUACAUUAAUAUUUAUUUAACAAAAAUUAAGAAACAAACCAACCAUGGUACAAUCUUUUAACCCCUCAACAACUUUCCUUGGUGCAUGUGAUCUUCAAAAAAUAUUCCUCAUUGGUCAUCCUUAACGAAUCUUGAAGGACACAUAUUCCUUGAGACAAAACCUCAUUUUUUUAAUCAUCCUAAUAUAAACGAUAAAUCUAAUAUCGACGAUCAAUGUUAAAGUACAAUUUAUGUUAUAUACAAUUGCUUUUCUUUAAAUCAUGAGCAGCAAUUAUGUCAGGGUUGAAAAUUAGCUUUGUAGAGUAAAUGAUAUUCUAUACAGUAGCAGAAACUUAACAAAAACAUCUCAAUAUUUGUAUUAGAAAUUAAUUUGUUCCAUGAUAUUUCUAUUAAAAGAUUGAUAUUUCUAUUAAAAGGUUGAUAUAGUAACUUUAACAUGAGAGCCCUUACAAGUAUAUUACCUCUAUGUGAAGCACCACUGUCGUCAUCUGCGGUACGUCACCAACUCUAGCCGCCACAUCAGAUCCACCUAAGCUCAAUUCUGAAAUUUAAUUAUCCAACUUAUGCUUCAUCAAAAUCAAAGUUAUUUCAACGUUUGGGCUCUAGUGGCAAGGAGCUGCUUCCAAGGACGUAUUUGGGAAAUAUCGAAUUCGAUUUUCAGGGAAAACGUCACUUGGCUAAUGCGCAUGUCUCUACGUACAAGCUGGAUCAAUCGCUCAUCUUUAGUGGGUCGGAAACCGUGCGAAAGAAAGAAAAAAAAAAUCAAAGUUAUUUCAAGGAGACAAAUUCCUUGUUUUCAAUUUUCAAUCGGUUCUUAUUACACCAAAAAAUAAAUAAAUCUUUAAAACCUGUUCGUCAGCCAUUACAGUUUGUGUGCUAGGUGUUACUCUUUGAUCAACGAAUUAGAGUGUCGUGAACUUAAAGUAACUUAAUUAAUAAUGGGAAAGACCAGAAACUUUUGUUUUUGUUUAUUGACGAAACGAAAGACCAGAAACUCGAACACGUAUCAUUGUCAACUACUCAAAUCUUUGACCAUCUUAAAACUUAUCCGUUUGUGUUUUAUUAUGUCACUUUUAAAAAAAUAUUUUGUGCUUUAAUUAUGUCAAUUACUUAUACCAUUGUGCUAACACUGACCACUGAGUCCAUUGAGAUUACAAGGCUAACUGUUAGGACUUGAACAAUAAGACUAACUCUUACCACUUGAACUAAUAUUUCAAGUGUAAAUAUAAAAAAGAAUGGGUUUCACAGCUUGUUAUGGGAUUUGGGAUCAGGGCUUUUACGAUAGGACAUGCAACCCUAAAAAUUGAUUAAGCAAAUUGGUUAAAUAUGAGAAUGUGUGUUCAGACAAUCAACAUGCUUUCAUAUCAUUUGUUUUUGACACUUUCAGCUUCCCAACUUCAGAGGCUGUUGACCUUCUACAUAGAGUUCAAAGAGUCAUCCAUAACAAUGUCAUGUCUUAUAGGAUCAUGAAUAUCGUGUUUACGAAGAUUAAUUCUGUCAUUCAAAAAGGCAUAGCGGCGUAGUUUAUUGUCUGCUUGAUAUAAUUAAUUGCUUGUGUGAUAAGAAAUAAACCAAUCCAUUUUUGUUAGAAGAGAUUUAAAAAAAAAUAUAUUCAAUAAGUUUUAAACAAAGAAAAACUAAUGACCUUUGGUGUAUUUGAUAAGACAAAUUUGGAGCUUUAUUCUCAAAUUCAAUUAUCCAAACUAGUUUAUACUUCAUCAAAAUCCAGGAGAUUAGUUAUUUAAUUCAAUUUUUCUAUCGGUUGUCACUAGACCAAAGAAUAAUUCAAAUUCAAUCUUUAAAUCUUGUUUGUAGACAUUGUGGUUGUGUGCUACUCUGAAUUACAAUGACAAUUAAUGAAUUAGAGAACCGUGUCCUAAAAGUAAGCUACAUUAAGCAAUGCAAAAGACCAUAAAUGGAAUGGCAUAUAUUUUGAACACAAACAAUGGGCACCCAAAUCUUUGACCAUUAAAUCAUGUUAACUUGCCUUAUAUUUUUGAACAUUUUCUAUUACAAGUUUUCAUAGAAAAAUUGAACUCAUACUAGUAGUAGUUAAUAAUAACUUCAAGAGUUAAGAAGACGGUAUGCUAACUUGUGCUUUAUCUUUAUCUUCUAAAUUCUUAAUCAAUCAAUAUUACUGUUAAGAAGUCAUGCUAACUUAUGCUUUAUAUUUAUCUUCUAAAUCAAUUUUAAUCAAUCAAUAUUAUUGUUAUAAUUUUAUUUUAUUUUUGAUAGAAAGUGUUAUUGUUAUAUUCAACUUAAGCGUCGGUGACAAUGAAAUUUUGUAACGCAAAUUCAUCCGUGAAAGAAAGUAAAAGUGUAAAAUGAAACAUAUAUAUUAGUAUAUAUUUUUGUCAAAAGAAUCAAGCAAGUGAUAAAAUAUCAUUUCAUGAUUGUUAUGGACAGCCUAGAACACGUCAACUACAGUUGGCAUUCUUCUCAUUAAUACUAUACUAUCAGCUCGGUCUUUAAAUACAAUACUUUAGAUUUUGAGAGGAUAUUUUUAUUUUUAUUUUUAAUAAUGAGAGGAUAUUUAAAUACUUUAGUCUUUUUUUACUUUUAACCAUUCGAACUGUUCAGUCUUUUUUUAAUAGUUAUUGUAAAAACAAAAGUCCUUUUUUAAUACUAGUAUUCUAUUAAUAUUUUCCAUCGAAAUAAUUGUUACUUUUCCAAAAUACUUUAGACUUAUUUUACUCUAAUCAAUACGUAAACAAUGAGGAUUAAAGAAAAUAAAUAUUGAUAACAUAUUCUAGAAAUAAAUUUGAACAAAAGAAAUAUUAUUUAUAAAUAAUUUUAAUACUGCUAUAAUAUUUUUACUUUCAUGAUUUAGCUAAAAGUAUCUUAUAUUCUCCAUUAAAAAAAAUCUUAUAUUUUGAAAUAGAACUAGCAUACUCGUUAUCUAGACCUAGAUCCAAAUCCAUUAAUUUCUAUAAUAGUACUUGAGUUGGACAACUUUGACCAAAAGAUGCCUCAAGUACCUUUCUAACCUAACCUUCUCACAUUGAAUACUAUAAAUAGAAGAUACCUAACAUAUAGCAAAACACAUCCAUCAAUCAACAAUUCACACAACAAUGUCUAUUUUUCUUAACCCCAAAACCUCAUUUCUCACUUUAUUGUUCUUUUCAUUUUCCACCUUAAUUGCACAUGCAAUUGUUCCACAAAAUGAAACCUUUAAAUUUGUAAAUUCAGGUGACCUUGGAGACUUCAUUGUAGAAUAUGGAGGUGAUUACAGAAUGAUAAGCAUAUUCAAUGCUCCAUUUCAAGUUGGUUUUUAUAACACUACCCCAAAUGCAUUCACUUUAGCUCUUCGAAUCGGUCUUCAACGAUCGGAGCAGCUUUUCCGGUGGGUAUGGGAAGCAAAUAGAGGCAAUCCAGUUGGUGAAAAUGGUACUUUUUCAUUAGGUGCUGAUGGAAAUCUUGUGUUGGCUAAUGCUGAUGGAAGAAUUGUUUGGCAAACAAACACUUCCAAUAAAGGUGUUGUUGCCUUUAGGUUACUCUCAAAUGGUAACAUGGUUUUAAUUGAUGCCAAAGGUAAAUUUGUUUGGCAAAGUUUUGACCAUCCAACAGAUACCCUUUUGGUUGAUCAAUAUUUAAAACCUAAUGGUCCUUCAAAGCUUGUUAGUAGACUUUCAGAAAAAGAAAAUGUUGAUGGUCCUUAUAGUUUGGUUUUGGAGCCUAAAGGUUUGGCUUUAUAUUAUAAGAGUACAAAUUCUCCUAGGCCAAUUAAAUAUUGGUUUUCAUCUUCUUGGUUUUCAUUUGAAAAAGGUUCAUUAGAAAAUGUCACACUAAAAUCUGAUCCAGAAUCUUUUGAGUAUGGAUUUGAUUUUUUUGUUGCCAAUUCUACCACUUCUGGUAGUAGUAUCAUUGGUAGGCCAGUGAAUAAUAGUACCUUAACAUAUCUUAGGCUUGGAAUUGAUGGUAAUAUUAAAUUUCACACCUACUUCCUUGAUGUGCGUAGUGGUGUUUGGAAAGUGACAUACACUCUCUUUGAUGAAGAUGAAGAUGAGGGUGAGUGCCCAAUUGCCUGAGAGAUGUGGGAAAUUUGGGCUUUGUGAGGAUAAUCAAUGUGUUGGUUGUCCAUUGGAGAAUGGAAUAUUUGGUUGGAGUAAUAAAUGUAAUGCUAAGCCUUUAGGAGGAGUAUGCAAAGCAAGUGAAUUUCAUUACUACAAAAUUGAAGGAGUUGAGCACUACAUGAGCAAAUACACUACUGGUGAUAGUGUAAGUGAAGAUGCAUGUGGAAACAAAUGUACCAAGGAUUGUAAGUGUGUUGGGUAUUUCUACCACAAGGAUAACUCAAGGUGUUGGAAAGCUUAUGAUCUUCAAACCCUUACUAAAGUAGAAAAUACUACACACGUGGGUUUUAUUAAGGUUCCUAAUAAGUAGUAAGAUAAGCUUAGAUUUCUCUUUGGGAAGGUCUUGGUAUUGUAUUUUAAUUGUAUCAAUUUAAUAUAGUUAUUUCCUACUAGUGGUUUUAGAUUGCAAUAAAGUUGUCGUUAUCUCUCUGCUCUCCACUUGGAGAAGGAGAUGUAAUAUUUCUAUUAUAAAUUAUGAAGUGUGCAAUGAAAGUGUUGUUCUCAUGCUAUGAUGUUUUGUUUUAUGUUUUUGUGUUGUUCUUGCUUAAAGAUUGGGUGGGUGCAGAUUUGUCAUAUAAUUCGGUGAUCGGUUUCAUAAACUCGAAAGGGUCUGCUUCAUUUGGUUCUGAUAACCCUCAGGGGUCUAUGUUACUAACAUAUUUGACUCAUCCCGCGAUGAGGGUUAUUACGCGUCUAAUUGAAACUGCAGGUCUCAAGGCGUCAGAACUACCUCCACUUUGGUACCGACUUUUUAUCUGUCUCAGUUCAUGUUACUGAUUUCAGACCGUUAGGCUCGAAAAAGCUUUAUUACUUGCUGGUUGGUUCAGAGAGUUGUUGGUUAGUGGAUCUUGAUUCCUUAUUGGUGGUCGAUCCAUACACCAGUUAUGAACCCUAAUUAUUCUUUAGAGAUGUUCAUUUUUCAUCUUUUUUGUAUCCUGGUUUCUCGCCCGUACACGGGUUCGCUGGGUUGCACUCGUGGAGAGUGAUUGUCUAUUUAGAUAGAUUAGGGCAGGUUUACCUGGUUUAUUUUUCACUAUGUAUUCCCGUUAGGGGCGGAUCCAGACUUUUGGUACAUGUGAGGCUAAAUUUUUAAAUAAACAAUAAUACAACCUAUAUUAAAAAUAAGAAAUAACAUUGUUUGAUACAAUACAUUAGAAUGAAAAUCGUCGCCUAUCCAUUUGUUAAAAAUGAGUUAAAAUGACAUCAGUACUAAUUGUUAAAAGAACAUCUCUUUCUAUAUAAGUUACAAGAUGGUCAAUUAGUCAGUGAUCAUCCAUUUUGUUACAUAGGUUACUCUUCACAACUUUCAUAGCUAAAAAAACGCCUUUAACACUUGCAGCUGUUACCGGCAAGAGCAAAACCAACUUCAAAAGUUUAUAAAUCAUAGCAAAUGUGUUGCAUUUAUUUGUUUCCACAAGUUUUGCAAAGACUUCUAAGCCCUUUCAACUUAGCAAAUUUUGGGUCGGAUCGAACAUUUAUAACAUAAUUCUUAAGUUGAUGGCGAAACACCACUUCCGACACAUCUAUACAAUCAUUUGGAUAAAACUCUGUCAUCAUCAAUAACUUAUUCACAUCAAAGCUACAAAUGAUUUUGCGGAACUCAAACAUGAAACACACUAUAAAAGAGAUAGUUAACUUAUUAACUAAGUUGUUUUUUUAUAUUAUAUUUGUUACUAAAAAAAGGGAAAAGGCAUGUGGGGCUUUAGCCAUACAUAGCCACUAUGUGUGUCCGCCAAUGAUUCCCGUUUUAUAUGGUACCUGGGUUAGGUCUCAUGCCCCAAUCUUAUAGCUCUUUGUGUUAAUUUAAUAUAAUUUUUAUUUUGCCUAAAAAAAGUGUUGUUCUAAUUGUCUUAAAGUUAUUUGAAUUGGUAAGCCAAGGAUCAAAGUUAUUUCUUUAUAAUUUGUUCCUAGUUUGACAUUAACAAUUGGGUUCCAUUCAAAUAAUAUUUCAGGGUUUUAAGUUCAUUAAUUAUAUGAGAUUACAAUGAUCGUAAGGGAAAACAAUGAAUAAAAUAUAAGAUAGCUUAUGAAAGACGAAAAAAUUAUUUAUGCUCUAUCCAAAAUUUAUUUAUGGUCUAAAUGACUUGGUCCUCCUGUUUACUCUCUUAUGAGGAAGUUAUAUCCCAUACCUCAACACGUGUACUUUCACUCCUACAAAUUUUUAAAAAUUUUAAUUUUACCUCUUUUACUAUUUAAUCUUUUAUACAUUAAUUUUUCAUCCUCAUUUUCAACAUCUUCUAAUUCAGAAUGGAUGCACCCCCACAUGAUAUUUUGUUAGUAUGUAUUUUUGUUUUCUUCUUCACCAUAAAACGUUUCCGGAAAUAUUUCGGAACACUCAUAUAUGUUUCCGAAAAUAAUUCGGAAUACUCGUAUGUAGCAGCUUUCCGGUGCAUGCGAGUUAUGCUAAGUAAUUUCAUUAUAUAAAAUAAAGAACCGGAAACGUGUAUCCUAGUUUUUCCGGUCCAAAAGAAUUAACACAAAAGCAUCAACAAAGCCGAACCAAAAAAAAAAAAUAAAAGCACACAAUUAGCAGUUAGCAAUAACAUCUUCAAAAAUUGCCAGCCCACAAAGUUAGUAUUUGCCUUAUAUGUUAAGAUGUGAAGAAAGUUAGAUAGACCUUACAUCUUAGGAGGUCAAGAAAUGAAGUGGACUGAUAAAAUCAAUGAGGAGGUCAAGAACAAUGCUCCUUCAUAAGCUAAUGGCAUAGAUCAAUGGAAGAAACAUUCAAUUUGUAAAGUACCCUCACAAGUCAGUGUUGAACAAAAAGGCAUUGAUUUACAGUAACAAUGUCAUUGAUCUAUGGGCAGCUUUCAUUCAUUAAAACAGUUUGAGUCCAAAAAAAAUUAAGAACUUAAAAAUGAAAAGAAAAAAAAAGAUGCCUGAACCGAAAAUCUUCACGCAACCAUUCCGGAAGAAAUCCAAAACGAUAACUGGAAAGCUUUGCAUGCGUUUUUCGAAAAAUCAACCGGAAUGCUUCGUAUGCGUUUUACGGGAAUCAAUGAUUUGAAAAUCGAUUAUGGAAACAACUCGUAACACAAUUCCAUGAAGGAUUCCGGUAACUCACUACCCCAUAAAACCUUGACAAACCCACAAAACCUAAAACCUCAAUCAAUAAUUCCAUUGAACUUUUUUUUUUUUUUUUGAAGAAGCUAAAAUAUUCCAUUGAACGAUCAAGAGAAAGAAUAGAGAAAAAGGAAACGAUUAUGAGAACAAUCAAUAAUUGAUGAUGAUUUUUGCAAAGAAAGUUUAUUGUUGUUUGUUGGGAGUGGAAGUUUUCUUUUUUCUAGAAAAGAAGGGGUAAAGGUGGGGUGAACGUGAAAGUGUGAAAUAUGUUUAAUUUUAUAUAAAGGGUAAAUUUGGUAGUUCAUGUAAAAUGUUGGGGUAAAAGUAUAAUAGUAGGGGUAUAGGGUAUAACUUCCCUCUUAUGAGUGCGGUGGGCAUACAAAUACCACUUAAAUUAAUUUAAGCUACACCAUUAAUCAAUGGUAUGGACAAUGCAUAACAUGUAAAUUUUGGGUUCGAACCCUGAUCACCAGUUUUUAUUUAAUUGUUCUUGCUUAUAAUUUUUAAACAUUUUUUUUCCGAUGUAGCUGAUAAAGAUGGUGGUGCGAUGAGCAGUUGUUGCCCUCCGCACCACCCCUCUCCCAUAUCUCUCUGCGAUUUCAAUGUCGGUGGUUUUGGGGCAGGUUGUUCUGGUUCACGAUUUCUCCCUCCUGGCGUCCUCCAAAGCGUUGGUGGUUUCGGUCGUCUUCAACAACCUCUUCUUGAGUUAGUUUCAACAACCACCACUUUUUCAUGGCAGCGUUGGUGGUUUGGAAGUUUGAUCUCGUGUUCACAGAUCGGUUCGACGGAGGAUCUUCGCCGGUGACAGAUCUUAUAGUGGUUCAAAAUCUAGGCUCUUUUUAGAAAUCUGGAUUGGUUCUUUGUUGGUUAAGGCUCUUGGCUCUGACAUAUGUUUCGUGUUUUCUGCGAUUCGUUUGAAGGUGGUGUUGGAGUUGUUGCAGCUGAAUUGUUGGUUUGUGGUUGGUUUGUUCGAUCUUUGAUUUUAUGAUUCAUUUUCAGAGUGUUGAGCACUGCAUGUUUCAUGGUUUGUUCAGCUGACAUGUACCAAUCCCACUGCAAUAGGUGAUAUUAUCCUUAUCACUCUUUGUGUUUGAUUGGGACUGUUAGGCUUGAAAGAGUAGUUAUACUUGAUGUUGUUUGUCGUAGGUAGUUGUCGGCUCUUGGAUUUGUAUCAUGUGGGCGGUCAGUCCAUACGCCGUUUUUCAGUUUUCAGUUGUUUACCUACUUAAUGAGACGUAGACGUUUUCCUCUCCGACGGUCAAGCAUCGACUCAUAUUCCCAACCUACUGUCGUCGUCAUCCUCAAGGUUGUCGUCGUUCUUCAAGGUCUGAUAAGGGACUAACUGUUGUGUUGAUCCAUGUGUUUCUGGAUGGUGGUUGCGAUUCUGAUCUAAAGUUUCCAGUAUUCCUCCCCGCGCCGGAGAAGGGUCUUAUGUGGUAUUUGCUUUGGGGCUUGAAAGAGUGUAUAACUUGUUGUGAUCUGCAGGAAGAAGAUGGUAUGUGGACCUGCUUCGUGUUGACGGUUGGUCCAUUCACCGCAGUUUCGACCUCUACUUAAGAGGUUGUUAUGAUCCAUUUGUGUUGUUUUUAAUUUUCAUAUUACCCGUUUGGGUAGACCUACAUUUUGUGGAUAAACCGGUUAGGUUUAUGUCCCCAGGUUUUUUUAUGUAUUUUUUUCCUUUUCUUUAAUAAUAUAUAUGAGCAUUUGGUAGAAGAUUAGAGUUGAAUACCAACCUAGUUAGGAGCCACUCUUUUUGAUGUCGUUUGCUUUUGCCUUGUAAAAAAACAAGAUUAAUUUUUCAGGGCCCUUUAUGAUAUUAUUCAGUCAACACUUAAAAUAAAUUUUUUAAGCAUAAUUUAUAAGGUAUGGAUUCGCCUUUCAUAAAGGUUAACUCAAGUGGAAUCUCAUGUUUUUUCAUAUUGUAUUCAAAUUAGUAAAAGACAAAUGCAUUCGUACGGGGUCGUGUCACAUUGCGAUAAUUAUAUAAAAAUGAUUACAUUGUUAAUAUUUUGACAUGUUUAAAAAUAUUAAAUAAAAAUGAUUAACAUAGUAGUUUUUAAUAAAAUAUUUGUUUAUUUAAUUUGCAACAGUUGGUUUAUUUAAUUUGUCACCGUCGGAAUACCGCAACACCGUCGCUUAAGGCUUUGUUUGGGAGUUGGGUUUUGGAGGGGAGGGGAGGGAAAGGAAAGGUUUGUGAGUGCUAAACCCUUGUUUGUGAGUUUUAAAAAAACAAGGGAAAGGUUUUGGGGGGUUUUGAAGGGGUUAAUUUGUCCAAUUUUAGAGUUCCCCCAAUUUGGGGGGGUUUUGGAGGGUUAAAGAUGCAAAUUGACCAUAUUACCCUUACAAUAAUACAAAAUUCCAAUUUUAGCCCUAACCUAAUUUCAUCUCAUUCUAACGAUUCAUUUCACUGUAACUGUGCACGCUCUCUCUUCUCCCGACGGCGACGUGAAUGGCGAUCUCAACCUGAACGGCGGCGAACGGCGGCGAGCGGCGGAGAAGGAAGCUGAACAACACAGUUUCCUUCAUCUCUCUCGAUCCUCUUUCUUCUGGUAUCAAUCUCAAACUAUCUUCCAUUCUUUUCCAAUUUCUUUUCCUUUUGCUAUUUCAUUCAUGAAUUGAUUUAUGUUUUGUUGUUUGAUUCACGAUUUGAUUUAUGUUUUUGUGUUUGAUUCACAAUUUGAUUUCUGUUUUGCUAUUUGAUUUUUUAGAGUGAAUCAUAUCUACUCAAUGGAUACUGUAUAAUCACUAUUAUUAUGAUUUCACUAUUAUUAUAAAUAAAUGUUGUUUGUUUCACAAAAAUGUAUUAUUUUGUGUUGGAUUCAGUUUAAAUGGAUCAUGAAAUGGCUCGUCAAACAAUUAUGGAAUUGAUUAGAUGGAGAGCAAGACUUCGAAUGACACUUGUUCAUGUCAUACGUCUUAUAGUUUGUUACUAUAGGAUUAAAAUCCAUUCUCAAAGUAGGAUAGUUGAUCGUAGUUUGACUCUUGAGAAGGAUAGAGUACGCAAUAAGAUAAUGAAUAUAGUUGCUACUAGUGAAGGUCGGAAGAUAAUAAGAAUGAGUCCUAAGGCGUUUUUGGAUUUAUGCUCUAUAUUACAACAAGAGGGUGGUCUUCUACCAACACAAAGGGUAACCGUAGAGGAACAAGUUGCUAAAACUCUUUACCUUCUAACACACAAUGUUAGAAAUAGAGAGAUUCAAUUCUGGUUCCGACGCUCUGGCGAAACUACUAGUCGUCAUUUUCAUCGGGUGCUCCGAUCAAUAAUUGAGAUAGGGCGUACCUAUCUCAAACAACCAGAUGGAUCACGCAUUCCGGUAGAAAUUCUUGGAAAUCAUCGAUUUUACCCCUACUUUAAGGAUUGCGUUGGAGCAAUUGAUUGUACACAUGUUCGUGUAAAAGUACCAUUGGCUGAAGCUUCAAGGUAUCGUGGUAGGAAAAGUUUUCCUACACAAAAUGUGUUGUGUAACACCCUCUUUGAAUUAUUUGAUUUAUUUAAUUAUUUAAUUGAGUCUAAAAUUUAUUAAAAAGAGUUUAAAAUAUAUUUAUUUGAUUAUGUGAUUUAUUAAGUGGCUUAUGUUGUUAUUUAAUAGAUUAAGAUUUGAAAAUAGAAAUAAGAUUGAGUUGAGAGUUUGUUAUGAGAUUUUAGAGAGUUUUGGGGGAGAAAGAGAAAUAAGAUAAAAUAGAAAAAGGGUUAUAAAUAGGAGAAACCUAAUUUAGAAAAAACAUAACGUAGGAUCAAUUUUGGAGAAAAUGGAGAAAAAGCCGAGAGGAGGGAGAAGACCUAGGAGUGCUGCGAUUUUCAUCUAUAAGGUAAGGGUGGGACUAACAUUCAAUAAUCUUAAGUCAUUGAUUCUGAAAAUUGGAUUUAACAUGUUGUAGGUUUUAGUUUUUGAGAAUUUGGGAAUUAGGGUUAAAAGUGAUUAUUUGAUGAUUUUCUAAAAUAAUGUUUUGGGUCAAGUUUUAUAUGGUUUUGAGUCUUUUUUGAUGUAUAUAAAUGUUUAGACAAACUUUGGGAUCAAAUUUGGGCAUAGGGAAGUUAAAAUUGGGAUUUUGGGGUGAAAAGUGUGUUUUUUCCCGAGUUGCUCUCUGACAGCAUGUCCUGUUUCAUGUUCUUGCGUCAUUUUCAUACGUUUCUGUUUUCAAUUAGCCUUUGGUGUAAACAUGAAAGUUGUAGAUAAUUGUGUUAGCUUUACAGUGGCGUCGGUUUGACUUGAAAAUGAUUUUUGGUUUAUGAGUUAUGGUCAAAUUACUGCACGUAGGUCACAGUGAAUUUUUAUGAAUUUCAGCACAACUUUGUCCGAAUUUGAAAUGAAAACUGGUAUUGAUUGGUAAAGGAUUGGUCUUAGGUGUAAACACGAAAGUUGUAGGUAUAAAUUUUAGCUUUCUAUUGCCGUUGGUUUGACUUCAAAAGGAUUUAUAGAAUUUAAGUUAUGGUCAAAUUACUGAACGUAGGUCACAGUGAAUAAUUGAUUAUGAUUGAUGAAUUAGUAUAUGUAUGUAUAUGUUGUGAAUCUGAUAUUGUCCAUGAUCGAUGAAGUGUUAUAUGUAUAUAUGAUGUUUUAAGAUGUUGAUUAUGAUUUGAUGUUGUUAUAUUGUGAUAUAAUUGUAUAUGCAUUACUUGAAUUAUAUGUGAAUAAUUGAGACGUUGUUGACUUGCAUUUGAUAUUAUUAUGUCAUGCUGUUUUUGUAUACUGUUGUGUUACUGUUGUUAUUUAACUAAGCUGCAUGAGCCGGUCUAAGUUGAUUAAGAUGAUGAAGUUCCAAAUUAUUGGAUUAUAUAAGAGGUUGUCGAUUUAAGAUAUUACGAGGUCGAGUCCAUGCAUUAGCAUUUCAUUGUUGGGGGCUUGAUGCCCUGGAGCCUUUGCUCAAUUAAGUUGAGGGCUUGAUGCCCUGGGAGCCUUUUUACGCUCAAAUAAAGUUGAGGGCUUGAUGCCCUGGGAGCCUAUUUACGCUCAAAGAUUGGUACCACAUGCAUGAUUAGAAGAUUAAGUUGCAUAGUCAAGAGGUUAAGUUGUCAGGUUGUCAAGUUAUCAAGUUGUCGAGUUGUUAAAUCAUGAAAUUGUUUAAAGCUGUGAUUCUUUAUAUAAACUAUUAAAGAAGUGAAUUAUGAUAUAUUAUUAUCUAUGAUGAAUAUUAUGAUGAUUACAUGAUGUUGUCUAUGAGUUGUUAAAUAUGAUUGAUGAUGCUUAUGUUGUUAAAUGUAAUUGAUGAAUUAUAUGCUUAAUAUUAUUAUUUGUGAAAUCUCACCCCUUCUGUUUGCCCACCAUGGGUAACUAACAGGUAACCAAGAAUAGUUGAUGUCGUGUGAGCUUUCCUUCUCGUGUGUCUUAGGUGCUCUGAUACGUAACGGGAUGGGAACUUUGUUAUCGCUUUUCUAUUCCUUACGUAUUGUUUUUGAAGAUUUAUGACUAUGUUUUUAGAUUGGAUUUUUAUGAGACAUUUAUGAAGAGGCCUUCGUGCCAAAGACUGUUUUAGUUAUUGAAAUAAAUUCCGCUGCGAAGUAUUAAAGAUCUUGUAUUUAAUUUUAAAGGAUAAAUAAUUAUUUAUUCAGUUUAUGAUUUUAAGAAAAGAAUGUGACAUUCCGUUUAUGUUGAAAAACUCUGAUUAUUUAUGCGAAAUUUUUAUGUUGGGAAAACGGGGUGUUACAUGUUGGUCGCAUGUUCUUUUGAUCUUAAGUUCACUUAUGUUUUGCCUGGAUGGGAGGGUACUGCUUCUGAUUCUAGGAUAUUAAAACAUGCACUACAGAGAAGAAAUGGUCUCAAAAUACCUAGAGGUAGUUAAAACUUAUUGUUAUCAUUUUCCCUUUUUUUCCGCUUCUUUUUCUUAUGUAUGUUGGUAAUAAUUAUUUGCUUUUAGGUAAGUUUUAUAUUCUUGAUGCUGGAUUCAUGUUGAGAAAGGGGCUAAUUACACCGUUUAGAUCAACACGUUAUCAUUUGAAAGAAUUCUCAGCCAUAAAUCCCCCUAGAACAGCUCAAGAGUUAUUCAACCUUCGACAUUCAUCGUUGCGUAAUGUUGUUGAAAGGGCUUUUGGGAUUGUGAAGAAAAGAUUUCCUAUCAUUUCAAGUGGCGCUGAAGCAACUUAUGGAAUCGAUACUCAAAAUUAUAUUAUCCUUGCAUGUUGCAUUUUGCAUAAUUUCUUGAUGGGGGUAGAUCCUGAUGAAGACUUGAUUGCUGAGGUAGACGAAGAAAUCGCCAAUCAAAGUGCAUCUCAAACUGGUCAUGGCCAUAUAGAAGUAGAUGAGGAUGAAGAACAUUCGCAUUUAGGUCAAAAUUUUAGAAAUUCUAUACUUGGUGCCAUGUGGACCAAUUACCUAUCAUAUCAUAGUAGAUGAUAAUGAAUUACUUAGCUAUUAUUCAGUGUGUAUGUUUCCAAAUAGCUAUUGCCAAAAAUAUUGGAAACUUGUUUGUUCAAAAUAUUCUAUAAUUUGUAGCUUUAAGUGGAAGAAUGUGUGUUGUUAUUGUUUCUAAAUAUUGGAAACUUGUUUGAAACUUGGAUAUUGAUGUUCCUGAUAAAUUGAAUAAACAUACUAUUUGUUGCAACUGUUAUUCCAAGAGUCACCAAAGAAAGGUAUACAUGAGUUCAUCUCAAAUUUAUCUAUAAAUUUAUAUGAUGAUUUUAUAAUAUGAUAUCUUUUCUUCUAAUAUAACAGAAUCAUGUCUACCUCUAAAAGAGAGACGUGGACAACAGAGAUGAACAAUGCUCUUAUUGAUGCCUUUGUUCAUCAAGUAAGUGCGGGAAACAAACAAGGUGGGACCUUUACAUCAAUAGCAUACACCAAUAUAACAAAGGAGAUGUCCGAAAAGUUUCAAAGACCUUUUGACAAGGAAAAGGUGAAAGAUAGAUGGAAAUUGGUGAAAAGAAAUUUUACUAAAUGUCAUGACAUUUUCAAUGGCAUGAGCGGUUUUGCUUGGAAAUCAGACACACAUAUGUGGGAUGCUUUACCUGAAGUUUGGAAAACAUUAAUUGAGGUACAUACUUAUAACUUACAUUAAUUGAGUUGUUGGGUUUGCUUGCUUAUAUAUAUGGCCUGAACCUAUGUCAGCAUGUGCACUUAUUUGAAUUGUAUAACUUAUUUGAUGGGAACUUAUUUGAAUGCAUAUUAGCAUGUUCUGAAGCUUUAUAACAUCAUUUUUUAUAAUUUUUUUUUAUAGGCAAAACCUGAAGCUGCACAAUGGAUGAACAAACCUUUUGUUAAUUAUGACAAAUUGGUUAUUGCUUGUGGAGAUGAAAGGGCCACUGGAGGAAAGGUUAUGAAUGAUGAAGAUAUUCGCCAAAAUCAUCCCCUCAAUCGUGAGUCAGAAUCCAUUGGUACUAGUGACCAGGUGACACUAGAGAGUUUGCAAGAGGGCGGCAAUGAGCAGGAUGUCACUUCUCCUGAGGUCCAAAUUCCCCCAGAACCUAGAGCCAAAAGAUCUAGAAAGUCCCGAGAUGAAGAUGAAGUUGAAGGGAUAAAAGCUGCCCUUUUGAACGUUGCUGAUGCUUUUAGAGAGAGUACUGCAUCUCAUGAUAAGUAUUUUAAAGACAGCAUUGCAGCUUAUGAGAAAGCUAAUUUAAAACUUCCAAUUUCAGAAGAAGAAGUUUUUAAACUUCUUGAGGAAUUGCAAGUGGAUAGUUGUUAUACCCUGUUUUUGGACCUAAAAAUACUGGGCCUAAUUUCAUUUCAAACUUUGUCAAAUGUCAAAUUUCAACUGCACAGUUCAAUUUGUCUCUGCUACGCAGUGUUUUCAAUCACAUUUUUACCUAUGUUUUUCUUGCAUAAGACCUUUCAAGAUGUCUUUACUUGUCUUGUAAGUCAUUUAAAAGUGUCUCUGAAUCAUUACAUUGCUUUUUCUACAAGUUUAUUUCAAAAUUUGCAAAAAGUCAUACAGAAGGGUAUUUUGGUCAUUUCCUGCAGUGGGACCCAUUUUCAUCCUUGUGACUGUUUCUGAGUCUUUUCAAAUUCAUUUUUAACAUUUCAUCAGUAAACCCUGUUUAAAUUCAUUUCAAAUUCGCGUCUGAGUCAGUGUCAGGUCAAUUUGAAUCUGUUUAGGUCGUUUUUAGCCCUAGGGGCAUUUUGGUCAUUUCACACGAAAUUUUGGCAUGGGGAGGUUACUUUGAAGUACCUCAUUUAGGCCAUUGGUUCGUUUUAGUCCGUUUUGUCAAUUUUAUUUGUGUUUCGCUUUACGUUUGGUCAAAUUACCAAUUUUAUUUUAAUUUUUAGUGUUUUUAUUAUUUUUGCAUUUUUGUCCUCAAAGAGUUCCAAAAUUGCAGUUCAGUCCACCUUUUUUUAAUUUUCAUUUCAGUCUUUUUUGUCAAAUUGCAGUUUAGUCCUUGAAGUUUUAUUUUUUGCAGAAAAGUCCAAAGUUCAUUUUUCAGGUCCAGGCCGUGCCAUUUCCAUACAAAUCCAGGUGUCACAUUUUCAUUGGCUCAAGUGUACACAUGUCAACUAUAUAACCAUUGAGUCAGAAUCAAAGCCAUUGAUCACACGCCACUUCACCAAAACAGAUUCAAUUUUUCUCUUUCUUGUCAGUUAGAUCAAACCAAGAAAAUCACAGAGAAAUCACCAAGAACACAAGAACCCUAAGAUUUCCAGAACCAAAUUCAUACACAAAUUCAUUGAUUUUCACAUCAAUCCUCAGAGAUUCGUGUGAAUCUUCAUCACCGGAUUGAAGAUUUCCCCUACAAUUCAAAGUGCGAGCUCACAUUGAAGCAAGCUCAAGCACUGAUCAUAGGGAUUUUUCACGCAGAUUCAAAAAACGUUGAAGCAAGCUCAAGCACGUAAUCACAGAGAAGCAGAGAAAGAAUCAGAGAAGAUGAAGAUGAACCGGUAAACCGAUUUAUUUUCGGUCCAAAAGCAAGCAAAAUCAUCAAAACCGUCAAGAACAUUCAAGUUUUUCCCAAAGGUUUUCCUCCAUUAAAGGUUUCAACCAAAACCUUAGGUAAAACUCAUACUCUUUUUCAAAAGCAAUAUCACUGUUAAACCUAAAAAUCACGCAAGCAAAACAGAUCCAAAGGUUCCAGAAUUCAAAGAAAACCAUAACCGUAAACAUCAAAAUCUAGAUCCGUAAGGAUCAACGUUUUGAAAGCGAAAACAGGCGUCAAAAAGUAAUCAAACGACGAAACGAUGUAGAUCUUUAAGGAUCUAAAUGAUCUCAUUCAAAAAAAUCAAAAAUCAUUUCAAAACCGUAAAAGCUUUUUCAAGAUCUACGUCGUUCCAAGCCGUUUUCAAAAAAACAAAUGCCGGAUUCGUGUUUAGGGUAAGAAGGCGAAUCGUUUGAUGUAGAAACUUUGAAGUUCUGGAAAAUUAGGUCGCCGGAGUGGUUUAGGCGCGCCGGAGAAGAUGAAGCUUCCGGCGGACCUUCAAGGUCUCCGCCGUGGCUUCAUCCUCACCGGCGGUGAGGGUUUAGAGAGAGAUGAGAGAAGAGAGAAGAGUUAGAGAGAGAAAGGUGUGUGACAAAUGAAAAAACCGGCGCGUUAGGGUUUUAUAUAGGGCGCUAGACCGGACCGGUUCAAGACCGGUCCAAUCCCCUGCGUAGUGAGCCCUUAGAUCUAGGGUUUGGGACCUUGGAUCAAUCCAACGGUCCCUGAGUAUCCCUGGGAGAUCCGUUUCCUCUGGUUUUGGGCUGGGCCUUCUGUUGUACGUUUUUUUGCUUCUUUUGCUGCUUGCACCAUUUUCUUUGCUAUUUGCACCUGUGGCCUGCUCAUUCUUGUUUACAAAAUUUCUAAAAAAAAUCCUAGUUGUUUCUUGGUACAUUUUUGGCAUUUUUAUGGUGUUUUCCUGCAUGUAAAAAAUAUCAAAAUGGCAUGAACAAAUUUCCAUGUGUUUUUACACUUUUGGUAUACUUUUUGCUAUGUUUUUGUUCUUGAUACUUUGAUAUGUGUUAUGAAUAAAUGAUACCAUAUCUUAUGAUGAAUAUGCCUCUGGACAUGUGCUUCUUUUUGCUGUUUUGAAUAUGAUUUUAUGGAUUUCUUGUUUUACAAGCAACAAAUGUUUGUUUUAGAGAAUAAAGUGUCAAAUUUCUCUAUGAAUUUGGUGUGAUACCUUGCUUGCAUAUGUUUCCAUUAAUUUCAUGUCAUGGCUUGAAACCAAAUUUCUUGCAAAAUUGCCAUGAUGUGAUGAUUAUGGGUUGCAAGCACCUUUAGGUAUCACAUCAAAGUUUUUAGGUUCAUUGCCACUUUAUUACCUUUUCUUUGCCAUUUUUAUGCAUUUCCUUUUGAUUACUUCCUACUAUUGUGUGCUUUAUGAUUACUAACCAUUUCAUCUCAUGUGCCAUACCUUUCAUAGCAUUCCACCACUCUCUCCACUUUCUUUAGCUUAGCAUUUAUUUUAUUUUUUUACAAGUUUUAAUUCAUUUGGUAAUGUAAUUUGUUAUCAUUGGUUUGUAGCUUGGCAAAGGGGCCAUAGAAUGUAUUUAGGCAAUUUUUGUAAUAUGGACUAUGGACACUAUGGCGCACCGACACGCACACACUCACCUUAGAUGUAUGCAUAGGAUUGUAUGGUUAGACAAGCGUUUAGGUUUUAAACCCUUAGAGAAAAUCCAUCCUUUUUCCAAAAAAAACAAUUGAACUUCACUUCAAAAAUUUUCAUAAUAAAUAUGAAGUCAACACUUCAUUUUUUUCCUUUCUUUUUUUCUUAAGAAAAAUUCAAUCCAUCUUAAUCAUUUAGACUUCCUUUCUAAUCACUAAUCAAACCUCGCUUUUUUUGCUAAAUCUAAUGCUCAUGAAGCCUCCCAAUCUCCUUCUUCAAAACCUUUUUUUUCAAAACUUAAAAUCAAACAAUUAAAACAAAAACAAGUCUUUUUAGCAAGAACUACGAACGGUUUUGAUCCCUUAAAAGGGUACGUAGGCAAUGAGUCAAAACUCAUCCAAGCCGAAAUAAAAUCCAAUUCUACUUCUUCUCUCCCCCAUUCUUAACUAAAUAAACCUCCCAUUUUCAAAAAGUAAGUAAAAAUAAGCGUAGAAAUUAACUUAGGAAAACGGCUCCUAUAGAGGACUAUAGUUACUCCGGGUGCCUAACACCUUCCCGUAGUAAAACCGACCCCCGAACUUAGAAUCUAAGGGUUUUUUCUCAAUUUUUCCCUUCCCGAGAAAAAAGAGAGAUAUCAACGGUCAAAAGGUUCAAGUCCAAUUAAUGGCUUGGCACCCAAAAACCAUGAUAACAGAAAUGGCGACUUCACUGGGGAAAUAAGUUAGCGGGUCGCGCCUAGUUUUCCUUAGUUUAUAUUUAUGUUUUAUUUUAUUGCUUACAUAUGUGAAUAUUUGUUUGCUUUCAUUUGACGUGUGGGGUGAGAAUAUCAAAAGUCCUAUACCCGGGCUGAGUGAACUUAUGUUUAGGGAGAGAUAUAAUCGACAAUUCGAUCCGGGGGUUGCCUCGUGUAUUGGAUUAUGCGAUCAAUCUCACAUAGCUGAGGCAUUUUGAAGGUGAUAUUGUCGGCGUGUGUUGUCAUGCUUAGGCACUUCACUUUCAAUUGUUCGACGAAGCUAUGAACCGUAGUUACCAAACCCAUCCUAGCCUUUUUAGGACGUAGUGCGGUGGCUAAAUUGAGUGUUGUCUCAAACUUUAGUCGUCACGCGAUACUACACUCAAACUAGACCUUCUCACAAAUAAUCAUGGAACGGGUGUCGUCCUGUACUACCAUGAUAUAUGUGAGAGAGGUUGCAGUUUGGGAACUGUGUUAGAACCUUGGUUACUACUAUCCAGAGCCUUAGUUCACCGGGCGCCGUGUCCAUCCGUUACUUUGAACCUCAACCCACAUUGUAACUAAACAACGCAAUCAUGCAUACAUGCAUUCAUGCAUAAACAUUUUUUCAUGCAUUCAUCGAAGGGUUUUAAACAAAUGGAAAUUUUUGUAAAUAAUCACAGGUAUGAAGAAGACUAAGUGCUACAAGUUCAAGGAAGUGGAUUUGGUUAGUGUGAGAGAGUUAGCUCUCAAGGUCAAGAGUCAAACAGGGUUCCGACUCCGGUAUGGGGGAUUGCUUACUUUGCUCCGAACCGAUGUGGAUGAGAAGCUAGUGCACACUCUAGUGCAAUUUUAUGAUCCGAGCUUCCGUUGCUUCACUUUCCCGGACUUCCAGUUGGUUCCUACUCUCGAGGCUUACUCCAAUCUAGUGGGUCUGCCUAUAGCCGAGAAGACGCCUUUCACCGGUCCCGGGGCUUCUCUUACUCCUCUGGUUAUUGCUAAGGAUCUCUACCUCAAGACUUCCGACGUCUCCAACCAUCUUAUUACCAAGUCUCACAUCCGGGGUUUCACUUCGAAGUAUCUUCUUGAUCAGGCUAAUCUCGGUACUACUCGUCAGGACACACUCGAGGCUAUUCUUGCUUUGCUUAUCUACGGGCUCAUUCUCUUCCCGAACCUCGACAACUUCGUGGACAUGAAUGCUAUCGAGAUCUUUCAUUCCAAGAACCCGGUUCCUACUUUGCUAGCGGAUACCUACCACGCCAUCCAUGAUAGGACUCUCAAGGGCCGUGGGUAUAUUCUUUGCUGCACAUCUCUUUUGUAUAGGUGGUUUAUUUCGCACCUUCCGAGUUCCUUCCAUGAUAACUCGGAAAAUUGGUCCUACUCUCAGCGGAUUAUGGCUCUCACUCCUAAUGAGGUCGUCUGGCUCACUCCCGCCGCUCAAGCCAAGGAAAUCAUCAUGGGUUGUGGAGACUUUCUCAAUGUACCUCUUCUUGGUACCCGUGGAGGAAUCAACUACAACCCCGAGCUUGCUAUGAGACAGUUUGGUUUCCCUAUGAAGUCGAAGCCCAUCAAUCUUGCUACAUCUCCAGAGUUCUUCUUCUAUGCGAAUGCUCCUACCGGACAAAGGAAAGCUUUCAUAGAUGCUUGGUCCAAGGUUCGAAGGAAGAGUGUGAAGCAUCUAGGUGUGAGAUCUGGUGUCGCUCAUGAGGCCUAUACUCAGUGGGUGAUAGAUCGAGCUGAGGAGAUUGGUAUGCCUUAUCCAGCUAUGAGAUACGUGUCUUCGUCUACUCCAUCUAUGCCUCUACCUCUACUCCCCGCGACUCAGGAUAUGUAUCAGGAGCAUCUAGCUAUGGAGAGUCGUGAGAAGCAAGUGUGGAAAGCUCGGUACAAUCAAGCCGAGAAUCUAAUCAUGACUUUGGAUGGUAGAGAUGAGCAGAAGACUCAUGAGAAUCUGAUGUUGAAGAAAGAGCUAGCUAAGGCCCGGAGGGAACUAGAAGAGAAAGACGAGCUGCUUAUGAGGGAUUCCAAGAGAGCCCGAGGACGACGAGACUUCUUUGACAGAUACUGCGAUUCAGAUUCCGAGUCCGAUGAUCUUCCGACUACUUCCUAUGCUUGAGAGCUUUAUUUGUUUACUUUGUUGAAAAUGUUGUGUAAUUUUGAUUAUUUGCAAGAUUUCUAAUUUAUUUUAAAAUCCUUCGAUGAAAAAAAUAAGUCUUUUGCAUUCGCAUUUGCAUAUCAUGCAUCAUGUGCAUCAUACAUUGGUCACAAAGGCUUCCAAGUGCUCACUAUCUCCUGGUUCCUCUGCCGCAGUGUGAAAAGUGGCUCGUGCUCAGAGAGUUUACGAACCAGAUAGAACUGAUCGAACCAGAGAAUACAGAAGAAAGAAAAGGGCUAUGGAAGAAGAGAACGCUCAGCUUCGCACCGAGGUAGCCUCUCUAAAGGAGGAAUUGGCUAAAGCUAAUGACGUCAUGACUGCUCUACUAGCUGCUCAAGAGCAAUCAGCUACAGCUAUCCCUACAACCACAGCUGCACCAGUAACUACAAGCGUGCUCCCUACCACUUCUGCAGACAAUCGCUUUACUAUGCCAGUGGGGUUUCCGUAUGGGCUUCCACCGUUCUUCACUCCCGUUGCUACAGCAAGCACCUCGGGCACUGCUAACAAUGUUCUGAUCCCUGCAACAAAUGCCGCCUCCAUCAUUGCUACUUUGCCACAAACAACAGCAGCUGUCACUGAGCCUCUGGUACACACUCUGCCUCAAGGUAUUAACACCAACACACAGCACAGAAGCAUCCCCGUAACCAAGACUAUGGAAGAGAUGAUGGAGGAACUUGCUAAAGAACUCCGUCACGAAAUCCAGGCCAAUCGAGGGAGUGCAGACUCUGUCAAAACUCAAGACCUUUGCUUAGUGUCAAAAGUGGAUGUCCCUAAAAAGUUCAAGAUUCCGGACUUCGACCGGUACAACGGGCUAACUUGUCCUCAAAAUCACAUCAUCAAAUACGUCCGGAAGAUGGGCAAUUACAAAGACAAUGAUUCCCUUAUGAUCCACUGUUUUCAAGAUAGUCUGAUGGAGGAUGCCGCAGAGUGGUAUACUAGUUUGAGUAAGAAUGACAUCCAUACCUUUGAUGAGUUAGCCACCGCUUUCAAGAGCCAUUAUGGGUUUAACACUCGACUGAGGCCAAAUAGGGAGUUUCUCAGGUCCCUAUCUCAGAAGAAGGAGGAAAGUUUCCGUGAAUAUGCGCAAAGGUGGAGAGGGGCGGCUGCCCGUAUCACUCCUGCUUUAGAUGAGGAAGAAAUGACCCAGACAUUCUUAAAGACCUUGAAGAAAGAUUAUGUUGAGAGGAUGAUCAUCGCUGCCCCGAACAACUUUUCGGAGAUGGUCACUAUGGGAACCCGUCUUGAGGAAGCCGUCAGGGAUGGAAUCAUUGUGUUUGAGAAAGCUGAAUCUUCUACGAGUGCCUCGAAGAGGUAUGGUAAUGGACACCACAAGAAAAAAGAAACGGAAGUGGGGAUGGUGUCAGCUGGAGCCGGUCAAUCAAUGGCUACUGUUGCUCCCAUCAAUGCAGCUCAAAUGCCUCCGCCAUACCCAUAUAUGCCGUAUUCUCAGCAUCCUUUCUUCCCGCCAUUUUAUCAUCAGUACCCUCUGCCACCGGGUCAACCUCAAGUGCCCGUCAAUGCAAUUGCUCAACAGAUGAAACAACAGAUGCCGGUUCAACAACAACAACAAAAUCAGCAAGCUAGGCCUACUUUCCCUCCGAUACCGAUGUUAUAUGCUGAGUUGCUUCCAACUUUACUCCAGAGAGGGCAUUGUACAACUAGACAGGGUAAACCCCCACCGGACCCGUUGCCUCCAAGGUUCAGGUCUGAUCUCAAAUGCGACUUUCAUCAAGGUGCCCUAGGUCAUGAUGUCGAGGGGUGUUAUGCUUUGAAGUAUAUCGUGAAGAAGCUCAUUGAUCAGGGAAAGCUGACUUUUGAGAAUAAUGUUCCACAUGUCCUUGACAAUCCUCUUCCAAAUCAUGCCGCUGUGAAUAUGAUUGAAGUGUGUGAGGAAGUUCCUAGACUUGAUGUCCGCAACGUCGCAACUCCUCUGGUACCUCUACACAUCAAGCUGUGCAAAGCUUCUCUGUUUAAUCAUGAUCAUGCCAAGUGUCUGGGAUGUCUCCGUGAUCCUUUGGGUUGCUAUACUGUUCAAGACGACAUCCAAAGCUUGAUGAAUGAUAAUCUUCUGACUGUCAGUGAUGUUUGCGUGAUUGUGCCGGUCUUUCACGAUCCGCCUGUCAAGAGUGUACCUUUGAAGAAGAAUGCUGAGCCUUUGGUGAUAAGGUUGCCAGGACCAAUUCCUUAUGUUUCGGACAAAGCAGUGCCAUACAAGUACAAUGCUACUAUGAUAGAAAAUGGAGUAGAGGUGCCUCUAGCCUCGUUUGCCACAGUAAGCAAUAUUGCCGAAGGGACUUCUGCAGCGCUAAGAAGCGGGAAGGUCCGUCCGCCGUUAUUUCAGAAGAAGGUAGCUACGCCGACCAUUCCACCAGUUGAAGAAGCAACUCCAACCGUUGUUUCACCCAUUGCUACAGAUGUGAACCAGUCAGGCAAGUCUAUUGAGGAUUCGAAUUUAGAUGAGAUUCUGAGAAUAAUAAAGAGGAGCGACUACAAGAUCGUUGAUCAGUUGCUGCAGACUCCUUCGAAGAUAUCUGUCUUGUCAUUACUCUUAAGCUCUGAGGCUCACAGGAAUACUUUGUUGAAAGUGCUGGAGCAGGCUUAUGUUGACCACGAAGUUACGGUAGAUCGUUUCGGUGGCAUAGUGGGAAAUAUUACUGCUUACAACAACCUCUGGUUUAGUGAAGAAGAGUUGCCGGAAGUGGGAAAGAGUCACAAUCUGGCUUUACACAUCUCGGUGAAUUGUAAAUCAGACAUGAUAUCAAAUGUGUUGGUGGAUACCGGUUCCUCUCUCAAUGUAAUGCCCAAGACGACUCUAGAUCAGUUGAGCUACCGUGGGACCCCGUUGAGGAGAAGUACUUUCUUGGUCAAAGCUUUUGAUGGAUCUCGAAAGAAUGUGCUGGGAGAGAUAGACUUGCCGAUAACCAUUGGCCCUGAGAAUUUCUUGGUUACUUUCCAAGUGAUGGACAUUAAUGCAUCCUACAGUUGCCUGCUGGGAAGACCGUGGAUACACGAUGCAGGUGCGGUAACCUCUACCUUACAUCAGAAGUUGAAAUUCAUAAGGAAUGGAAAGCUUGUUACCAUUCAUGGUGAAGAGGCAUACUUAGUUAGCCAGCUAUCUUCCUUUUCUUGUAUUGAAGCAGGGUCUGCUGAAGGGACUGCUUUCCAAGGAUUGACCAUUGAAGGUGCGGAGCCUAAGAAAGCUGGGACUGCUAUGGCUUCAUUGAAAGAUGCUCAGAAGGUUAUUCAGGACGGUCAGACUGCCGGUUGGGGCAAGGUGAUACAGCUCUGUGAGAACAAGCGUAAAGAAGGUCUCGGGUUCUCCCCGUCAUCAAGGGUUUCCUCGGGAGUCUUCCACAGUGCAGGGUUUGUUAAUGCUAUCUCUGAAGAAGCCACUGGAUCUGGUCUCAGGCCUGUAUUUGUUACACCAGGAGGCAUUGCGACAAAUUGGGAUGCCAUUGACAUUCCUUCAAUCAUGCAUGUUUCUAAGUAAUGUGUCUUGUUGCUUUAAUGCUUUGUUUUCAAAAUAACAAUCCUCUCGCUCUGCCCAAAGCGAGAGUGAUAUUUUCUGUAAGGGCAUGUUUGUUUCGGCAUUGCCGUUGAUUAAUAAAAUUUUGUCGUUUCUUCCACGACUACUUUUUUUUUAGUGCUUUUUUUUUCCCUUGGAAACAAUGGUAAUGCCAGAAAAAACCAAAACGUCUGUAUUUUCUUAUUAAUUUCAAAAAUCUGCAUGAAAAAAAAAAAAACCAUUUUCUAAAAUCAUCCAAUCAUUAUAUGCAGGUUGAACCAUAAUAAACCCGUUGAACACAGUAGUCCUACGGUUCCUCCAAGUUUUGAAUUCCCCGUGUAUGAAGCCGAAGAUGAGGAAGGUGAUGACAUACCAUAUGAGAUUACUCGGUUACUUGAGCAAGAAAAGAAAGCCAUUCAACCUCAUCAGGAAGAGAUUGAGCUUAUUAACAUAGGUACCGAGGAAAACAAGCGAGAAAUCAAGAUUGGUGCUACUCUAGAGGAAGGGGUUAAACAGAAGAUCAUCCGACUCCUCCGGGAAUAUCCGGAUAUUUUUGCAUGGUCCUAUGAAGAUAUGCCAGGUCUAGACCCUAUGAUUGUGGAGCAUCGGAUCCCUACCAAGCCUGAAUGUCCUCCCGUCAGGCAGAAAUUGAGAAGGACUCAUCCUGAUAUGGCUCUCAAGAUCAAGAAUGAAGUUCAAAAGCAGAUUGAUGCGGGUUUCCUCAUGACAGUUGAGUAUCCCGAAUGGGUUGCCAAUAUUGUGCCUGUGCCAAAGAAGGAUGGUAAAGUUCGGAUGUGUGUUGACUUCAGAGACCUGAACAAGGCCAGUCCAAAAGACAACUUUCCAUUACCUCAUAUUGAUGUGCUUGUUGAUAAUACUGCUCAAUCUAAGGUGUUCUCCUUCAUGGACGGUUUUUCCGGUUAUAAUCAGAUCAAGAUGUCUCCUGAAGACAGAGAAAAGACGUCUUUUAUCACUCCAUGGGGUACUUUCUGCUACAAAGUGAUGCCGUUCGGCCUAAUCAAUGCUGGUGCUACCUACCAAAGGGGAAUGACCACUCUGUUUCAUGACAUGAUUCACAAAGAAGUUGAGGUAUAUGUGGAUGACAUGAUUGUGAAGUCAGCAGAUGAGGAGCAGCAUGUUGAAUAUUUAACAAAGAUGUUUGAAAGGUUGAGAAAAUACAAGCUGCGAUUGAAUCCCAACAAAUGUACAUUCGGUGUCAGGUCUGGAAAGUUAUUAGGCUUCAUUGUCAGCCAAAAGGGCAUUGAAGUCGAUCCUGAUAAAGUCCGGGCCAUCCGAGAAAUGCCGGCUCCACAGACAGAGAAGCAAGUCAGAGGUUUCUUGGGACGUUUGAAUUACAUCUCCCGAUUCAUAUCUCAUAUGACUGCAACCUGCGGGCCGAUCUUCAAGCUACUUAGAAAGAACCAGCCUGUUGUAUGGAAUGAUGAAUGCCAAGAAGCUUUUGAUAGCAUCAAGAAUUACCUGCUGGAACCACCUAUCCUUGUCCCACCCGUGGAAGGAAGGCCUUUGAUUAUGUAUUUGGCAGUAUUUGAUGAAUCCAUGGGAUGCGUGCUUGGUCAACAAGAUGAAACUGGAAAGAAAGAGCAUGCUAUCUACUAUCUAAGCAAGAAGUUCACCGAUUGUGAAACUCGGUAUACAAUGCUUGAGAAGACUUGUUGUGCUCUAGCUUGGGCUGCCAAACGCCUGCGUCAUUAUUUGGUGAAUCAUACAACUUGGUUGAUAUCCAGAAUGGAUCCGAUUAAGUAUAUCUUUGAGAAAGCUGCUGUUACUGGAAAGAUCGCACGAUGGCAGAUGCUUUUGUCUGAAUAUGAUAUUGUGUUCAAAACUCAGAAGGCAAUCAAAGGUAGCAUUCUUGCCGAUCAUCUUGCUUAUCAACCUCUUGAUGAUUACCAACCAAUUGAAUUCGACUUCCCAGAUGAAGAGAUCAUGUAUUUGAAAUCCAAAGACUGCGAAGAACCGUUGAUUAAUGAAGGUCCAGAUCCCAAUAGCAAGUGGGGUUUAGUCUUUGAUGGUGCUGUCAAUGCUUAUGGUAAGGGAAUUGGGGCAGUCAUUGUAUCCCCGCAGGGGCAUCACAUUCCUUUUACCGCCAGAAUCUUGUUCGAAUGUACCAACAAUAUGGCUGAGUAUGAAGCAUGUAUCUUUGGGAUCGAGGAAGCAAUUGACAUGAGAAUCAAACACCUCGACAUCUAUGGAGAUUCUGCGCUCGUCAUCAAUCAGAUAAAGGGUGAAUGGGAGACCCACCAUGCUAAUUUGAUUCCUUAUCGUGAUUAUGCGAGACGUUUGCUGACAUAUUUUACAAAGGUUGAGCUGCACCAUAUUCCUCGUGAUGAGAACCAAAUGGCUGAUGCUCUUGCUACUCUAUCCUCCAUGUUUCGAGUAAACCAUUGGAAUGAUGUGCCAAUAAUCAAAAUGCAACGCCUUGAAAGACCUUCACAUGUGUUUGCUAUUGGGGAUGUGAUCGAUCAGGCUGGUGAAAAUGUGGUUGACUAUAAACCCUGGUACUAUGACAUCAAGCAGUUCUUGCUGAGCCGUGAGUAUCCGCCGGGUGCUUCCAAACAAGAUAAGAAGACCCUGAGAAGAUUGGCCGGUAGAUUCCUGUUAGAUGGAAAUAUUCUGUACAAGAGGAACUAUGACAUGGUAUUGUUAAGGUGUGUUGAUGAACAUGAAGCAGAGCAGUUAAUGCAUGAUGUACAUGACGGUACCUUCGGGACCCAUGCUACAGGGCAUACUAUGUCAAGAAAGUUGUUACGAGCAGGUUAUUACUGGAUGGCCAUGGAGCAUGAUUGCUACCAAUACGCCAGGAAAUGCCACAAAUGUCAAAUCUAUGCUGAUAAGAUCCAUGUGCCUCCGCAUGCUCUCAAUGUUAUGUCAUCCCCAUGGCCGUUCUCAAUGUGGGGCAUUGACAUGAUUGGAAGAAUUGAACCGAAGGCUUCAAAUGGUCAUCGUUUCAUCUUAGUGGCAAUUGACUACUUCACCAAGUGGGUUGAAGCAGCAUCUUAUACCAAUGUGACCAAGCAAGUGGUAGCUAAGUUCAUCAAGAACAACAUCAUCUGUCGAUAUGGUGUUCCCAGCAAGAUUAUUACUGACAAUGGUACCAACCUGAACAACAAUGUGGUGCAAGCUCUUUGUGAAGAAUUCAAAAUUGAGCACCAUAACUCUUCUCCUUAUAGACCUCAGAUGAAUGGUGCAGUUGAGGCCGCCAACAAGAAUAUCAAGAGAAUUGUCCAGAAGAUGGUAACUACUUACAAGGACUGGCAUGAGAUGUUACCCUAUGCUCUGCAUGGCUACCGUACUACCGUGCGCAGUUCAACCGGGGCAACCCCUUUCUCUCUUGUAUAUGGUAUGGAAGCAGUUCUUCCUUUGGAAGUGGAGAUCCCAUCUCUCCGUGUGAUCAUGGAAGCAAAGUUAUCCGAGGCUGAAUGGUGCCAAAGCCGGUAUGAUCAGUUGAAUUUGAUUGAGGAAAAACGUAUGGAUGCCAUGGCUCGUGGACAGUCAUAUCAAGCAAGAAUGAAGACUGCUUUUGACAAGAAAGUUCAUCCUCGAGAAUUCAAGGUAGGGGAACUUGUAUUGAAAAGGAGAAUAAGCCAGCAACCCGACCCAAGGGGCAAGUGGACGCCUAACUAUGAAGGUCCUUAUGUUGUCAAGAAGGCCUUCUCUGGUGGUGCUUUAAUCCUUACACACAUGGAUGGUGUAGAACUUCCAAAUCCAGUGAAUGCCGAUAUAGUCAAGAAAUACUUUGCCUAGAAAUGUGAAAAGAACAGCGUGGUAGGUCGAAAACCCGAAAGGGCGGCCUAGGCAAAAAUGCGCUUCCCGGUGGAUCGAAAACCCGAAAGGGCGGUCCAGGCAAAAAUAAGGGACAAAAAAACAAAUAUGAAAAGCUCGCUGAGAUUGUACGCAACUCAGGCAAGAAUGAGCGUCUCGAUGAGCCGAAAACCCGGAAGGGCGGUUCAUGCAAAAAUGAGAUUGAAACAAAAGGCAAGUAACUAUAUCUGGCUAACCACCGUCCCCUUGGGGCAUCUGCAGCUGUUAAUAACCAUCUUCAUCAAAAGCUCCUAUGCUUGCGAAUUCAAAGUUUCCAGGAAAUGUCAUGAUUACUGUGUUCAAUGUAUCACCAACCAAUAAAAUUACCAUUUUCCAAGCUUUGUAAAUCCGUGGAGUCACGCCUUCGGCUGACUACCACUCUUAUACAUCAAAUUGAGCCUGUGCUUUUGUUUAAAAUUCUAUUUUCUUCUACUUUCAAAGCUAUAUACAAAACAUUUUCUUUCUAUUUUGAUAAUGACAAUGCUUGAAACAAACAUUUUUGAAAACUGAAAACUUUUUGUUUAUUUUGAAAAGCAAACCUGAGCAACAGGGUACAUUCAAAUGAAACAUGCAUGAGCGAGAGUAUGUUGGUGUCUAUUUCAAUAUAUGUUACCAGCAGGUUCUCCUCCAAGAUAAUCUGUGGUCAAUGGCAAGAAUGAAAAAACAGAAUGAAAAUGCAUGAAAAUUAAUGAGCUCGCUAAGUUGACAACCCGAAAGGGCAGUUCAGGCAAAAAUGGGGCAUUGAAAAGAACUUAUUUCCCCGGUGGAUCGAAAACCCGAAAGGGCGAUCCAGGCAAAAAUGGGAUGAAAAAAAAUGAUGAAUGAAAAUGAGAAUAUAACAUGCAAAAGCAUUGACCACAGAUGCAAUGUCUACAACAUACCCAGCGCUGAAAUGCCCAGCACAACGGCGUUUUCCCCGGUCGGGUCUUCCAAGAUUCUAUCCCCAGCAAGAUGCAUAGCUACCUGCCCUCAGCUAUGGUUCCGACACAUCUCCCAACGACGUCAUCUCCAAAGAGGAUUUCCAAGAAUGUGUAAUAUAGCACGAGCCACUACGUGCCCAAUACUCUGAUGUCUUGUCUUCCCCGUGAAGUCGUGCCUACAAAAUGCCAACAGUCAUGCAUUACAAGCAUUCAUACAUGCAUAAUCAUGCAUAUUACGUGCCCAUGCAUUUAAUGAAAUUGUUAUAUCAUCCAUGCAUAUUGCAUUUCCAAUGUCAACAUCAGUCUCAAUUCAAUACUCAUGUCAGGUUCUCUGUCAAAACCUUGUGAGCCAAUAAUAUCAGUCAAUUUUUACCUUUCAAUUCAAAUCGACGUCAAGUCAAUCUCAAUCUAUAUUUUGUCAACAAACCAAUCCCCAGUGAAUGUGUUUCUGUUUGGUCAAGUUACUAGUUCGCAUCCAAGAACGACUUGUACCCGUUUACUUUUCAAUGUUAUCGGUCGAGUGCCUAGCUCAAUCCAAGAGCAGCUUGUACCUGGCUAUCUGUUUCUGUCGGUGGAGUAACCAGUUCGCAUCCAAGAACAAGCUCGCACCUGUCUUUUUGCCUUGCUUUCAGUCGAGUAACCAGUUCGAAUCCUUAAGAACAACUCGUGCCUGCCAAUUUUACAUGUUUUCAGUCGAGUCACCAGUUCGAAUCCGUAAGAACAACUCGUACUUGCCAAUUUUCUUUUUUUUCCCAGUCGGGUCACCAGUUCAAAUCCAUAAGAACAACUCGCACUUUCCAAUAUACCCAAGUGAGUUACCAGUUCGAACCCAUAAGAACAACUCAUGUUUGUCCAAUAACCUCUAUCCCCUGUGGAGUUACCAGUUCGAAUCCAUAAGAACAACUCGCAGUUGUCUGUUUGUUUCAUUCCCGGUCAAGUGGCUAGUUUGAAUCCAAGAGCAGCUUGUACCUGUCCAACUUGUUUCUAGUUUCCCGUUACUCUGCUAUUCACUAUCUUUGUCAAUGUCUACCAAUCCCGCAAUGGAUACGACAUUUUUUGUUAAUUCCAAUCCCCAUGAGGUCUUGCAUUCAUAAUCCAAAUGAUGCAUGGCAUGCAUAUUAUUUGAAAAUGGGUAGGCGUAUUUUUACGUCCAAACACAGUGCAAAUGCUAAUAUUUAAGUAUCUUCGUCCUGUCAAGCCAAAGACUCCGUCUCUUGACUCUCCAGACAAAGAAACUUAAAUAGGGGCAGCUGUUAUACCCUGUUUUUGGACCUAAAAAUACUGGGCCUAAUUUCAUUUCAAACUUUGUCAAAUGUCAAAUUUCAACUGCACAGUUCAAUUUGUCUCUGCUACGCAGUGUUUUCAAUCACAUUUUUACCUAUGUUUUUCUUGCAUAAGACCUUUCAAGAUGUCUUUACUUGUCUUGUAAGUCAUUUAAAAGUGUCUCUGAAUCAUUACAUUGCUUUUUCUACAAGUUUAUUUCAAAAUUUGCAAAAAGUCAUACAGAAGGGUAUUUUGGUCAUUUCCUGCAGUGGGACCCAUUUUCAUCCUUGUGACUGUUUCUGAGUCUUUUCAAAUUCAUUUUUAACAUUUCAUCAGUAAACCCUGUUUAAAUUCAUUUCAAAUUCGCGUCUGAGUCAGUGUCAGGUCAAUUUGAAUCUGUUUAGGUCGUUUUUAGCCCUAGGGGCAUUUUGGUCAUUUCACACGAAAUUUUGGCAUGGGGAGGUUACUUUGAAGUACCUCAUUUAGGCCAUUGGUUCGUUUUAGUCCGUUUUGUCAAUUUUAUUUGUGUUUCGCUUUACGUUUGGUCAAAUUACCAAUUUUAUUUUAAUUUUUAGUGUUUUUAUUAUUUUUGCAUUUUUGUCCUCAAAGAGUUCCAAAAUUGCAGUUCAGUCCACCUUUUUUUAAUUUUCAUUUCAGUCUUUUUUGUCAAAUUGCAGUUUAGUCCUUGAAGUUUUAUUUUUUGCAGAAAAGUCCAAAGUUCAUUUUUCAGGUCCAGGCCGUGCCAUUUCCAUACAAAUCCAGGUGUCACAUUUUCAUUGGCUCAAGUGUACACAUGUCAACUAUAUAAGCAUUGAGUCAGAAUCAAAGCCAUUGAUCACACGCCACUUCACCAAAACAGAUUCAAUUUUUCUCUUUCUUGUCAGUUAGAUCAAACCAAGAAAAUCACAGAGAAAUCACCAAGAACACAAGAACCCUAAGAUUUCCAGAACCAAAUUCAUACACAAAUUCAUUGAUUUUCACAUCAAUCCUCAGAGAUUCGUGUGAAUCUUCAUCACCGGAUUGAAGAUUUCCCCUACAAUUCAAAGUGCGAGCUCACAUUGAAGCAAGCUCAAGCACUGAUCAUAGGGAUUUUUCACGCAGAUUCAAAAAACGUUGAAGCAAGCUCAAGCACGUAAUCACAGAGAAGCAGAGAAAGAAUCAGAGAAGAUGAAGAUGAACCGGUAAACCGAUUUAUUUUCGGUCCAAAAGCAAGCAAAAUCAUCAAAACCGUCAAGAACAUUCAAGUUUUUCCCAAAGGUUUUCCUCCAUUAAAGGUUUCAACCAAAACCUUAGGUAAAACUCAUACUCUUUUUCAAAAGCAAUAUCACUGUUAAACCUAAAAAUCACGCAAGCAAAACAGAUCCAAAGGUUCCAGAAUUCAAAGAAAACCAUAACCGUAAACAUCAAAAUCUAGAUCCGUAAGGAUCAACGUUUUGAAAGCGAAAACAGGCGUCAAAAAGUAAUCAAACGACGAAACGAUGUAGAUCUUUAAGGAUCUAAAUGAUCUCAUUCAAAAAAAUCAAAAAUCAUUUCAAAACCGUAAAAGCUUUUUCAAGAUCUACGUCGUUCCAAGCCGUUUUCAAAAAAACAAAUGCCGGAUUCGUGUUUAGGGUAAGAAGGCGAAUCGUUUGAUGUAGAAACUUUGAAGUUCUGGAAAAUUAGGUCGCCGGAGUGGUUUAGGCGCGCCGGAGAAGAUGAAGCUUCCGGCGGACCUUCAAGGUCUCCGCCGUGGCUUCAUCCUCACCGGCGGUGAGGGUUUAGAGAGAGAUGAGAGAAGAGAGAAGAGUUAGAGAGAGAAAGGUGUGUGACAAAUGAAAAAACCGGCGCGUUAGGGUUUUAUAUAGGGCGCUAGACCGGACCGGUUCAAGACCGGUCCAAUCCCCUGCGUAGUGAGCCCUUAGAUCUAGGGUUUGGGACCUUGGAUCAAUCCAACGGUCCCUGAGUAUCCCUGUGAGAUCCGUUUCCUCUGGUUUUGGGCUGGGCCUUCUGUUGUACGUUUUUUUGCUUCUUUUGCUGCUUGCACCAUUUUCUUUGCUAUUUGCACCUGUGGCCUGCUCAUUCUUGUUUACAAAAUUUCUAAAAAAAAUCCUAGUUGUUUCUUGGUACAUUUUUGGCAUUUUUAUGGUGUUUUCCUGCAUGUAAAAAAUAUCAAAAUGGCAUGAACAAAUUUCCAUGUGUUUUUACACUUUUGGUAUACUUUUUGCUAUGUUUUUGUUCUUGAUACUUUGAUAUGUGUUAUGAAUAAAUGAUACCAUAUCUUAUGAUGAAUAUGCCUCUGGACAUGUGCUUCUUUUUGCUGUUUUGAAUAUGAUUUUAUGGAUUUCUUGUUUUACAAGCAACAAAUGUUUGUUUUAGAGAAUAAAGUGUCAAAUUUCUCUAUGAAUUUGGUGUGAUACCUUGCUUGCAUAUGUUUCCAUUAAUUUCAUGUCAUGGCUUGAAACCAAAUUUCUUGCAAAAUUGCCAUGAUGUGAUGAUUAUGGGUUGCAAGCACCUUUAGGUAUCACAUCAAAGUUUUUAGGUUCAUUGCCACUUUAUUACCUUUUCUUUGCCAUUUUUAUGCAUUUCCUUUUGAUUACUUCCUACUAUUGUGUGCUUUAUGAUUACUAACCAUUUCAUCUCAUGUGCCAUACCUUUCAUAGCAUUCCACCACUCUCUCCACUUUCUUUAGCUUAGCAUUUAUUUUAUUUUUUUACAAGUUUUAAUUCAUUUGGUAAUGUAAUUUGUUAUCAUUGGUUUGUAGCUUGGCAAAGGGGCCAUAGAAUGUAUUUAGGCAAUUUUUGUAAUAUGGACUAUGGACACUAUGGCGCACCGACACGCACACACUCACCUUAGAUGUAUGCAUAGGAUUGUAUGGUUAGACAAGCGUUUAGGUUUUAAACCCUUAGAGAAAAUCCAUCCUUUUUCCAAAAAAAACAAUUGAACUUCACUUCAAAAAUUUUCAUAAUAAAUAUGAAGUCAACACUUCAUUUUUUUCCUUUCUUUUUUUCUUAAGAAAAAUUCAAUCCAUCUUAAUCAUUUAGACUUCCUUUCUAAUCACUAAUCAAACCUCGCUUUUUUUGCUAAAUCUAAUGCUCAUGAAGCCUCCCAAUCUCCUUCUUCAAAACCUUUUUUUUCAAAACUUAAAAUCAAACAAUUAAAACAAAAACAAGUCUUUUUAGCAAGAACUACGAACGGUUUUGAUCCCUUAAAAGGGUACGUAGGCAAUGAGUCAAAACUCAUCCAAGCCGAAAUAAAAUCCAAUUCUACUUCUUCUCUCCCCCAUUCUUAACUAAAUAAACCUCCCAUUUUCAAAAAGUAAGUAAAAAUAAGCGUAGAAAUUAACUUAGGAAAACGGCUCCUAUAGAGGACUAUAGUUACUCCGGGUGCCUAACACCUUCCCGUAGUAAAACCGACCCCCGAACUUAGAAUCUAAGGGUUUUUUCUCAAUUUUUCCCUUCCCGAGAAAAAAGAGAGAUAUCAACGGUCAAAAGGUUCAAGUCCAAUUAAUGGCUUGGCACCCAAAAACCAUGAUAACAAUAGUCAUAUGAUCAUUCGGGCAUAUUCUUAUCUUCUAGAGUUUCCUGAGAAGGUUAGAGCUUUACUUGGACUUCCAAAACACUUGCGGAAGAGUUUUCUAUUAGAAUCGAUGGUUGGUCAAGGUUACUCGUCAAGGUAAUUUAUCCAUUUUCUCAACAAGUCAAGGUUAUAUCUUGGCAUUGGUGUAUGAGUAGGUUGAAGAUUGCAGCUUGUUUACUAAUGGUUGUUUCAUCUCUACAUAUUGUUUUUGGUCUCUAAUGAGGAUCUUGAAGUCCUAGAUUAUGACAUUAGUAUAGAAUUUUGUAAUCUUGUAUUGGGAUUUAGUUACUAGCAUAUUUGACACAUUUGUCAUUUUUAUGUCAUGUAUUGAUAUAACAGGAUAUGUUGCAUUUUCAUUUUUAAAUGUCUUAUUUACAAGUAAAAUAUUUGUCAAAAACUUUCUCUAAUUUAUUUGAAAAUAAAUAAGUUGUUUUGAAUAAGCGGUUUUUGAAAAAGAUGUCCUAAUAAUCUGUUUUGCAUAAAUAAGCUGUUUUGAAUAAGCUGUUUUUUUAAAAGAGGUUGUAAUAAGCUGUUUUGCAUAAAUAAGCUGUUUUGAAUAAGCUGUUUUUUGAAAAGAGAUCGUAAUUAGUUGUUUUGUAUAAAUAAGUUGUUUUGAAAAAAGAGAUUGUAAUAAGUUGUUUUGCAUUAAUAAGCUGUUUUGAAUAAGUUAUUUUUUUUUAAAAAAAAAAAAGAUCGUAAUAAUUUGUUUUUCAUGAGAUAAGCUAUUUUUUAAAAAGAGACCGUAAUAAGUUGUUUUUUAUAAAGUGAUUGUAAUAAGUUUUUUUUUAUUCUAUAUAUAAUUUGUUUUUCAUGAGAUAAGCUCUUUUGAAUAAAUUAGAAGAUAAAUUACAAAGUAUAACAUAAUGUAUUAAUUUUAAGAGAAAAAAGGGUAAAAUAGGAAAAUUAUAACAUAAGCCCUUCAUCUUCUUUCCUUGUUGGUGUUUUAACUCCCAAACAAGGGGAAGGUUUUCCUCCUUUCUCCCUUCCUUCCCUUUCCUUCCCUUCCCCUCCUUAGCCUUUCCUUUCCUUCCCCUCAAAACUCGCAAACAAAGCCUAAGAGAACUAGUAACCGACAAAACAUAAGAGUAUGAAUAAGCUUAAAAUUGCAUCAUAUCUUUACUAUGAGUAGUGUUGGAAUCCGCAUGAUUGUUUGGCGAGAUAGUGGUUUUUCAACGGUUAGCUGCUAGGUUUGGUUCAUAGUCACAAAAUUCGCAACCGUUGCUAGGGAAAUGCGAAUUGGGAAAAUUAAUUGCUUAUUUUAGCUACCCUUGAAUCGUAAUUUUUAUUUUUUUUUUUUGUUGAUGAAUUGUUUUGGAAAAAAUUAUUAACAUACAUUAUAUUAUUUGCCUCAAAGAAAAUAAUGAAAUCUAGUAGUCGUAAAACUUUUUUUUAAGAUUUACCAAUUGCUUACACUAUACUUAAUUGGUAGUACCAGUACUACUAUUACGAACCGACCUCUACCGAAACUACAUACCUCUGCAUGUAUCGAAUUCUUCUCAUGUUGUGUAAUGCGAACUCGUACCACAUACCAAUACGAAUUACAAAUUAUGUUGAUUAUGGUUUGAUUCGGUAGUUGUUGUGUUGUCCGGUUACCAGUCCGACUGGGAAAUGAUUCUAUUGCAGCAGCUGUUUUCUGUAUAUUAGUUGUGGACACAGUUUUGGUGUUGUUGUGUCGUUUGGGUCUGCUGGGGAAUGGCUAGCAGUUGUAAUUGGGUGGGGUGUUUUUUCUUUCUUCUGCUGUUGUUUUGUGUUGUCUUUAGCACCACCAGCAUCUCCUCUUGAGAUGCUUGGGAGCUUUAAAUAAAAACAUACAUAUUUUUGUCAAAAGAAUCAAGCAAGUGAUAAAAUAUCAUUUCAUGAUUGUUAUGGACAGCCUAGAACACGUCAACUACAGUUGGCAUUCUUCUCAUUAAUACUAUACUAUCAGCUCGGUCUUUAAAUACAAUACUUUAGUUUUUGAGAGGAUAUUUUUAGAGUUAUUUUUAAUAAUGAAAGGAUAUUUAAAUACUUUAGCCUUUUUUUAAUAGUUAUUGUAAAAACAUCUUUUUUUAAUACUAGUAUUCUAUUAACAUUUUCAAUCGCAAUAAUUAUUACUUUUCCAAAAUAUUUUAAACUUAUUUUUACUUUAAUAAAUACGUAAACAAUGAGGAUUAAGUGUCGUUUAUCAUUUCAUGAUUCUUAUAUUAUGAACCAGAACUACCCCUCCGUUUCAAAAUGAGUGUCGUUUAAGUUUUUACAUGACAAUUUUACUAAACUAACCAAUUUUACUAUUGACGUAACUCUUUUUUUUUUUUUGUCGUGGUCGAGGUUUGAACCUCUGACCUUGCAUAUUUUUAUGCAUUAUCCAUACCAACUGAGCUAAGCUCACGAGGACAUGGAUGUUUUAGAUAUAAUUAAUUAAUUAGAGGGAACAAUUGAAAGUAAAAUAAUAAUUCAAUAUUGAAAAGUGUAAAUGACAUUCAUUUCGAAAUAAUUUUUUUUAUUUAAAACGAGACUUAUUUUAAAAUGAAUGAAGUAUUAAACUCAUGCUAUCGAGACCUAGAUCCAAAUCCAUUAAUUUCUACAUUGUACUUGAGUGGACACCUUUGAACAAAAGAUGCCUCAAAGUACCUUCUAACUUCUCACAUUAAAUAUUAUAAAUAGAAGAUACCUAACAUAUAGCAAAACACAUCCAUCACUCAACAAUUCACACAACAAUGUCUAUUUUUCUUAACCCCAAUACCUCAUUUCUCACUUUAUUGUUCUUUUCAUUUUCCACCUUAAUUGCACAUGCAAUUGUUCCACAAAAUGAAACCUUUAAAUUUGUAAAUUCAGGUGACCUUGGAGACUUCAUUGUAGAAUAUGGAGGUGAUUACAGAAUGAUAAGCAUAUUCAAUGCUCCAUUCCAAGUUGGUUUCUACAACACUACUCCAAAUGCCUUCACUCUAGCACUUCGAAUCGGACUUCAACGAUCGGAGCAGCUUUUCCGGUGGGUAUGGGAAGCAAAUAGAGGCAACCCAGUUGGUGAAAAUGGUACUUUUUCAUUAGGUGCUGAUGGAAAUCUUGUGUUGGCUAAUGCUGAUGGAAGAAUUGUUUGGCAAACAAACACUUCCAAUAAAGGUGUUGUUGCAUUUAGGUUACUCUCAAAUGGUAACAUGGUUUUAAUUGAUGCCAAAGAUAAAUUUGUUUGGCAAAGUUUUGACCAUCCAACAGAUACCCUUUUGGUAGAUCAAUAUUUAAAACCUAAUGGACCUUCAAAGCUUGUUAGUAGACUUUCAGAAAAAGAAAAUGUUGAUGGCCCUUAUAGUUUGGUUUUGGAACCUAAAGGUUUGGCUUUAUAUUAUAGGAGUACAAAUUCUCCUAGGCCAAGUAAAUAUUGGUUUUCUUCUUCUUGGUUUUCAUUUGAAAAAGGCUCAUUAGAAAAUGUCACACUUAAAUCUGAUCCAGAAUCUUUUGAGUUUGGAUUUGAUUUUCAUGUUACCAAUUCUACCACUUCUGGCAAUAGUAUCAUUGGUAGGCCAGUGAAUAAUAGUACCUUAACAUAUCUUAGGCUUGGAAUUGAUGGUAACAUUCAAUUUCACACUUACUUUCUAGAUGUACGCAGUGGUGUUUGGAAAGUGACAUUCACUCUCUUUGAUGAAGAUGAAGAUCUAGAUGAGAGUGAGUGUCAAUUGCCAGAGAGAUGUGGGGAAUUUGGGCUUUGUGAGGAUAAUCAAUGUUUUGGUUGUCCAUUGGAGAAUGGAAUAUUUGGUUGGAGUAAUAAGUGUAGCCCUAAGCCUUUAGGAGGAGUAUGCAAAGCAAGUGAAUUUCAUUACUACAAAAUUGAAGGAGUUGAGCAUUACAUGAACAAAUACACUAGUGGUGAUAUAGUAAGUGAAGAUGCAUGUGGAAACAAAUGUACCAAUGAUUGUAAGUGUGUUGGGUAUUUCUACCAUAAGGAUGAAUCAAGGUGUUGGAUAGCUUAUGAUCUUCAAACUCUUACUAGAGUUCAAAAUACCACACAUGUGGGUUAUAUUAAGGUGCCUAAUAAGUAAUAAGAUAAGCUUAGAUUUUUCCAUGGGAAGGUCUUGGUAUUUUUUUUUUUUUUUUUGGUAUUGUAUUUUAAUUGUAUCAAUUUAAUUUUGUUAUUUCCUACUAGUUGUUUUAGAAUGCAAUAAAGUUGUGGUUUAUCUCUUUGUUCUCCACGUGGAGAAGGACUUGUAAUAUGGGUACUAUAAAUUAAGAAGUGUGUUAUGAAAGUGUUAUUGUAAUUGUCUUAAUAUAAUUCAUAUUCUUCUCUCAUUCCAUUUAAAAUUACUUGAAUUGGUAGGCCAAGGAUUAAAGUCAUUUCUUUAUAUAAUUUGUUCCUAGUUUGACAUUAACAAAUAUCGAUUCAAUUCAAAUAAUAUUUCAGGGUUUUAACUUCAUUGAUUAUAUAAGAUUACAAUGGUCGUAAGGGAAAACUAAGAAUAUAAUAUAAUAUAGCUUAUGAAAGAUGGGAAAAUUGUUCAUGAUCGAUCAGAAAAAUAUCAAAUUCUAAGACGAUUUCAUAUAGAUAAGAAAAAAUAUUCAUGGAUCUGAGAAGAUGGUUCGUUGGCUUGAGAUCUGAUGUGUAAAGGAAUUGAGCUCUCGUCGUCCGUUGCAAGCUACAUUUAUUCGUUCUCCACCGAAAGGGUGUGGUGUACCUGCACGUGCUCUAUCGCCCAAGUCCCUAAGGAGUUCAAGAUAUUAUAGUGUGCGACUUAAAAUAGAGUAAGAAUGGUGAUACCUUACUCAAUGCUAAGCAUGAGUAUAUGUAGUGGAUAAUUAAGAUUUUGACUAUCAAGCCUUCACAUGAAAAAUUUUCCCUGGUCCUUUGGCAUUAGAUCCGGACCGGAUGGUACUUAGGGCGUGCCCGUCGUAUGGUGUCGCCUGCUCCUAGGUUUUGCAUCGGACCCAAGUCCAAAAGAAUGGGUACUGACCCAGUACAGAACAGUACUAAUAUUUGUCAUUAAAAGAAAACUUCUUAUUAUUGGUCUUUGCUCUAGUAACAAGACAAAUACCCUCUAACCAAGUAAUUGGAUUUGAGUAGUCGAAUUCCACUAAAGAACGAAUUGUUUAUGAGAUCCUAAAUUCAAUUUUUAGGUAGAACAAUUAUUUAUCAUACUUUACUUAUAUCUCGGCCAAACUUCAUAUUUUUAAAGUCCAUUCCCUUAUGAACCAAAGGUCAACAAAAAAUAAAAUAAAAUGGAUAACCAUGUAGUUUGGGGUAAAACAACGCUUUCAAGUUUCAUUCUAACAUAUUCUUCAAAAAAAAAAAAAAAAACAUUCUAACUUAGUUAUUUCUUCCAUUUACCUUCGUUUUUGUGUGCUUAAUAUUUAUUUUUCCAAUACGUGAAAAUGUUGUUAAUGAUGACACUUUCUGAUAAGUGUCGAAGGUGCGGAUAUAUGUUGGUACUUGACUACACCAUAGUGAAUGUCUUCGGGGUAUACUUUUAAGUAUUUUAAAUUAAGUAUUCGGAGUAAUUAUUUUUUUUAAAUGUCAAAGUUUUUAAUUUCUAAUGUACUAAUUACACAAACUUUCAUAAAAAGUUAUAAUUUAAGGUCCUUAACUAAUGUCUUGGAAGCAUUAGUUAACAUUUCCGAUAGUAUAAUAAUAACGAUAUAGAUAUUUGAUACAAGAGUUUUACAGGUUGGUUUACUCAAACACAAUGGUAAGUAUAUCAGUUUUAUCAAACAAAUAAAAUAUUGUAUCCAUAAAGACCGCGCUUAUUUAAUUUAAGUUUGUAUUGAUAGAUUUUCCGAACAAGUUGUUUACAAAAGUGUUUGAGUAGUUUGAUUCAAAGUAAACUGAAUAAAAAUAGAUAGAGUUAUGGAGGGAUUGAAUUUCAAUAACGAUUACUCAUAUGUUUCAUCUUAAUUGAUUGUAUACUUUUUAUGUCCUAGAUAUAACUCCACCUUUUCAUCAGCGUAUGUCUCCGGCUCAGGUUAACGACGUGAAAUAACAUAGAAACAACUGACAUUUGAUACACGAAAGCCAAAUAGCCGAUCGAAAAGAUAUAUAUGAAUAUAGACCUUCCCGCGAUCUCUUAAGCGAUAGCACCUGUUCAUAAUCUAAACCAUGUCCCUUAGAUAGCCAACCUUACUAGGCCUGACUAAAUCAAAAGAUCAAUUGUGGCACACUACAUUGGCGACAAAACAUUAAGAAAAGAUUUAGACUAAAAUUAUGUUGAAAAUAUAAAUCAUAUACAACCAUCCAAAUUAAGCGUAUUACAUAUAUUCCUAGUUAUUUAUAUCAAAUCACAACACAAGAGAGAGUUUAGUUACUCAUGGGUUGCAUGACUAACAAAAGAGAGUUGUUGAAUCUUAGAGAAGUAUCAACAAACUUGUUUCCAAGCUUCCCUAGCCUCCCAAUAGCUCCGGCUAACCUCAACAAACUUGAUUAAUUCUUACAAAUGACCUACACCUCUAUUUAUAAGGGUUAUUAAACAUCAGAUUCGCUAAACACAAAAUGCUUUCUUAGUUAAUUGAGGUUACUUUAAAGGAGGGAAAGCUCAGUUGCCUUUAGAUAUUAUUCCUUAAACCGCAUUUGCUCGCCAAGCAAGCUUUUUGUUCUUAGCGAACCGACUUUGGCAUUUCCUUCCAAAAUCGUGUGAUUAGGCUCGCUUUCACCUCGCCACGCAUGCUUGGUGAAUCCUACUUGGCUCCAUAAGUCUUUAGGAGGCAAAGACAACUUUGAUACGUGCCCUUGCCUUCCUUUACUCCGCAUUAGUACAAUCUUUGUCUUAAACCUGUAAAAUUGUAUAGAAACUAGACAUAAUAAUUUUAGGGGACAUAUAGAAAAGAUUGGAUGGAUCAACGUAAAGAUUAAUGGUUAUAUCAAGUGCAGUAAUUUUGAUUUGGAAAUUGGUUUUUAGAAAUUGAAAACUAGAUGUACGGAAAUUAAUGUUUUGCUUCUCAUUAAGGAGAGAAGAAAUAAAACAAGCUUGCAACCUACUCCCUCCGUCCCAAAUUGUACGACGUUUUGACCAUUUCACACGUAUUAAGAAAUGUAAUUAAUAUUGUGUGGGGAAGAGAAAUUAUAAGUUGUUUUACAAAAUUAUCCUUAAUAAAUGAUAUGGAAAAGAUAAAUGAAAUAAUUGAAAGAAGAGAGAGUAAUUAAUAAUUAAGGAUAUAAUAGGAAAAAUAACAUUAAUAUUUCAUUGGUAUUGUAAAGCGACAUAUAAUUUUGGACAAAAUUUUUUUUUCAAAGCGACAUACAAUUUGGGACGGAGGGAGUAAAAGAUUAUUAUAAUUAAAAUUUCAUUUUUUUUUUAAGGGAAUUUCAUUAUUUUAUUGUCAAUAUAACUUCUUCUUUUUUCAAUAAUGUCGAUAUACGUUACACCUUAUAGUUCAUAUUAUUGUCCAUAAUGUUAUUGGGUCAAUAAACCUUUGGUCCAACUAAUAUGCAGUAAUAUUUACUUUUUGACUAUUAUUUUAUCCACAUUAUUACCUUCUCAUGAGCCUUAUUUUUUUUCAGAAAUAUCUAUGGGGUUUUGAAUUAUAUAAUUUGAACACAGGAUGUGUUCGGAUUAUAUAUACAAGCAGCAAUUAGAAUCUCUCUUAUUUUAGCAGUUGCGGAUGCCGAAUUUCACUUUUAAAAACAAUAAAAAACAAAGUAAAAAAAUUAAUAAAACAUGUCAAAUAAAAUAAAAAAAAUACCACAUAAUUUUUUAAAAAUCAAAUAAAACUAAUGUAAAUUUUUUCAGAUUUUGCUAAGAAUAUAAGAAAAAAGAAAAAAGAAAAAAAAAAAAAAAAAAGGACUGAACGAAAGAAUUUUGGAUUUUGAGGGACGGAGACCUGUAAGAAGUCACUACUAGGAGAGUCAUGAUCCUUGAUAUUUUUCUAAUUUUUGGGAAAGUUUCAGAGCAAUCUGAUUAAGUAGCCUGAAAACAAGAUUUUUGAGUGAGAACAUCUAUCAAUGACCUAAAACAUAAGUAUGAGAGCUAGGAAGACUAAUAUGGUCCUUAAAUUGGCUAUCCAUGAUACAAACAGACUCAGAAUUUAUGUUGAUACAGUGCAGAUUAUAAAUCUGAAAAAGGAUGUUUUCCCCCGAAUAAGGGUGUUUAGGGGGUGUUUGAAUUCUAUAAUCCGUAAAAAAAAAAAGCAAGGAACGUAUCCUAUUUUUUGGGGUGUUUGGAUUAUAAAAUCUGAAUUGGUAAAAAAAAAAUUAUUUUUUUCCACUCCAAAACAAAAGGAAAACUCAAUUCAGAUUAUAAAAUAUGAAAAUCACAUGGACAUUUCAUAAUAUAUAAAAAAAAAAAAAAAAAAAAAAAGGGUGCGCGAGAAAUGGGUAGAAGGGAAAAAAUAUUCUUACUUUUUCAUACUAUCCAAUGGGUCAUUGUGCACAAGGUUAUUGGGUCAAUGUAAUAUGUGCUACAAAACUCUUAGAAUCAAUUAAAUAACAUGAAAAUCAUGGCCAUAGGAGAAGUGAAACUCUCCCCUCAUUCCCCUUAUUUUCGCGUGCCCUACAAACUGCUGAAAAUAUAUUUGUCUGAGUUUUAAAAUUCGGUCGCGUUUCUUUUUUGGAUUAUAGAAUUCUAACGAGAAAUAAAAAAUAAACAUAAAUGUGUAUUUUAAACAUCCAUAUUUUACAAUCUUAACACACUGACAUCGAGAAAGCGCAAACCAAAACAGAAAAUAACUAAACCAAUGAAAACUAUAAAAAAAAUUGUAUCAAACUAUCCUUGCGUAUAGAAAUUGUAUUUAGUUCUUUGAUCCCAUACACUUUAACUAAUUUUUAGGGAGAUCUCGAGACUUUUAUCUACAACUUUCACAUCAUCGUCAACUUUUCUCGUAAUCUUCAAUCUUCUUAUCAAAUCUUUGACGUUCUUAUCAUCUUCCAUCUUCUUAUUAUUUCUAAUUUUCUUAUCCUCUCCCGGUAUCUCAUCAUCCUAAACACGCUUAAGUUCAUUAUACUUACACAUUCUAGCAAAAUGUUUAAACUCUAGAUCUAUGCUUCUUGUUGACGAUGAUUUCUUCACAGUCAACCUAUAUGCGUUCUAGCAAAAGCUUAUAAAAAGCUACCUUGUGCUCCAAGUAUGUUUUCAAUGAAAAACUCUUGGAAAAUAUUAGUAACACUUUUUUACAAUAUAAAUAAAAAUAGCAAUGCUAUAUAGUGGUAAAGAAAACACAGCGAAUGCUUCCCAAAACAAAAUUAACCAAUGACAGUUUGUUGUUUGGCGGAAUACAAAGGAGGUACUCCCUCCGUUCUAAAAUAUAAGUAAAUUUGAUUUUUUAGGUUCAUUCAAUUAAUGAUGUAUGUGGUUCAUAUUAUGGACCACAUACAUCAUUAAUUGAAUGAACCUAAAAUGUAAAAUUUGCUUAUAUUUAAAAACGGACGAAGUAUUUGCUAAAAAACGGAAAUAAAAAAACAAUCCUCCAAUCAUCAUUACUAACCAGGUAUUGCCGUGGUUUUUUCGAUUGACAUUCUAUCGGGAGAAAAAGCAUUUCCCAAAUAAAAAAGUUGACACUGAAACACAAUUUUGGUUACUAACUGUAGAAAGAAAUUAAUUUUUUCUACAAACCUUAUCUUAUCCAAGGAUCCGCAUAAAUGCUACCAUGUUCAACCAAAUCAUAAGCAAGUGAUAAAAUAUCUUUCAUAUUGUCACGGACCACGGCAAUAUAUUUCAUUUGGUAUCAUUCUCACCAAUACUAAAAUGGUGAAUACAACCAUCAUCCAAUUAUUCAAUGUUAAUGUUAGGCCAUAUUAUUAUCAUACUUUUAUAUUAAUUUAUUCUAAAAUAAAUUUUAAUUUUACACAAAUUUUAUAUACAAAUUAUGAAUAUUCAGUCAAACUAUCAACUAAAAUUUAAACCAUAUGCAUAAAGUUUUUAAUUAGCCUUUAAGUUUAUAUUAAAUUUAGAAGUACUAGGUGUUCUGGACGGGCUAGAUGGUCAAUCUUACGAUGACACGUGGAUAGGGUGUCCUCUGGAUCAAGGCGCAUCACCUGUGUAAGCACGCUAGUGCUGGUGCACCUCACCUUACUGAAGCACGACCCGUGGAUCCUCUGCCGUACAUGUCGCCUCCAACAGCCCAGACGCCGCAUUUCACGGAAGCAGUUAGCACCUCCUUCCUAUAUAUAUAAGGGUAAUCUCUGCGUCGCCCUCAAGGUAUGAUUCAUUUUUCCUAUACAUUUUUACACAUUCAACCUCAUUUUAUACACUAACUUGAGCGUUGAAUUACUAACGUGUCUACAAACACCCUCCAAUCCACCACGAAGAUUUCGUUGCCACUGCACUGGAGCACCAUACCUUUACAGUUGCCUCCAUCCCUCUCUACCGGACAGAUCAAUGAUUUUAGUGCUACUACGUUUUUUUAUUUCGGUGGGUUUGGGAAGCAAAUAGAGGCAACCCAGUUGAUGAAAAUGCAACUUUUUCAUUAGGUGUUGAUGGAAAUCUUGUGUGGGCUAAUGAUGAUGGAAGAAUUGUUUGGCAAACAAACACUUCCAAUAAAGGUGUUGUUGCCUUAAGGUUACUCUCAAAUGGUAACAUGGUUUUAAUUGAUACUAAAGUUAAUUUUGUUGGCAAAGUCUUGAUCAUCCUACAGAUACCCUUUUGGUUGAUCAAUAUUUAAAGCCUAAUGGUCCUUCAAAACUUGCUAGUAGGCUUUCAGAAAAAGAAAAUGUUGAUGGUCCUUAUAGUUUGAUUUUGGAGCCUAAAGGUUUGGCUUUGUAUUAUAAGAGUGAAAUUUCACCUAUGCCAAUUAAAUAUUGGUUUUCAUCUUCUUGGUUUUCAUUUGAAAAAGGCUCAUUAGAAAAUGUCACAC
rnacentral:lncRNA from 1 species